CUAAGAUACAUAUGCCUACAUAUAUAUGAAAUAAAAAUAUUCUUACGAGUCAUAAAUUCUACUAGCGUAGGAACCCGCACGAUGCGGCGAGUAGAAAUAUUUUAGUAAAAAUUUACGGUCUACAGAUUUAACAAACAAAUAAAAACGUUAAAAAAAAUAGAAAAAAUAUUUAAAAUAUUAUGAAGGGUAAUAAAUAAUAAAAAAAAAACUAAAGAGGCUCAAAUUCAUAUUUAACUAAUCAUAUAAAGAUAUUUAUCUAUCUUAUCAUCUUUUUUAAUUCAAAUUAGAUUUCUCUUAAAAGCCAAUUAUUAUUGCAUUUGUCUAUGGACAAUCAAAUUGUCAUGCCAUCAAAAAAUUAGUAUGAAAUGUAAAGAAAUAAAAGAAAAAGUAUGAAGAAAUAUAUGAUAGUCAUACAAAUAAAUUUAAAAAUAAUAAUAGUUAGUUUUUAACUACCGUUAAAUUGUAAAAGCCCACUUUUCAUAUAUCUAUAAGCCAACAAUCUAUAUACUAUGUUAGUUUGUUGAUGUAAAUGCUAAUUUAAUCUAUUUUUUUUUAUAAUUUUACUCCAUCAAUUUUUGUGUAACUCAAAUGACUUAUUCAUGAACAGUAAUAUGCAACCAAAAAAAAAGAGAGAGAAAUAAUACAUAUUCAUCCCACAUAGAAAGAGAGGAAUCCGCAUUAGCAGCUUCAAUUAGACAAUUCGAAAGUCCCAUUCGACGACUUCCAUUUUGCCAUUCCGUAUCGAAAAAAACCUCCCAAUAUCAUCUAUGGUCUUCUCGAAAGAAAAUAAAGGAGGGCCUUAGACCAAGAACAGUCUCUUUCCUUUUAUAUAAAUAAAUAAAAUAAGGAAGAGAGCUUUUCCCCAAGAGGAAAGAGCAGGAAUUUCGGGAUGCUAUUGAAUAUGAUAAUAGUAAAAAAACUCACUUUCUAAAGCAAAGCUUUCUAUCCUCAUUUAGGCUAUCGAUGAAGCUUUAGUAACUAAGAGGCCUUGGCUUUUAAUUAUUACAUGCAUACCACUAUUUAUUUGGGAGUUUGGUAACUAAGAGGUCAUGGCUUUUAUAAUAUGCAUACCACUAUUUUGUAUUUGGGAGAUGAGGAGGGAGGGGUUUUGGAAGAUGAGGGGUCUCGGGGGUUGGGAGGUGAGAGGGGAGCAGUUUUAGGGAUUCAUUUAGUUUUAUUUCUUUUAUGUUAUAUGCAUAGAGUUACAUGCAUAUAUUUAUAUUUCUUGUUGUAGUGUAUAUAUAUUGCUUUGAAAUGUUAUAACUCUUUUUAGUUAUACGUAGAAGAUGGUUUUUAAGAAUUAACAAUAAAUUCAGAUAUUAAUAUUUUAAUUAAUAAUAAAUUCAGAGAAUAAACCACCAUUAAAAAAUAUAAAAAAUCUAAAAAUAGGAGAGCUUGCCAUGUCAUUAUUUUUAUUGGGGAUUCAUAUAGAGUUAUAGAUAGAUUGCGAGAAUAGAUUUUUUUUUAAAAAAAUAGUUUUUAGUUAAAUUUUGGCUAAAUUACAGAAAAUUUUCAUGUUAAAAUCCGAUUUUUCACUUUCCCCCUCUGUCAUUUAAAAACCUACACUUUACCCCCUUGUAAAAUAAAAAAUAUUUCCAGGAGGGUACGGUGUGAACUGUGAUGAUAAAAUGACCAUUUUGCCUCUCACUAUCUUCACAGUAGAGAAAACUGAGGGCAUUUUUGGCAUAAAAAUAUAUAAUAAUAUUUUAUAAACGGAAUUCUAACAGAUUACUAACGGCAGGGGGCGAAGUGAACAUUUUUAUUUUAUAAGAGGGCAAAGUAUAGACUUUUAAAUGACAGGAGGGAAAAGUGAAAAAUCGAAUUUUGACAUGAGGGUUUUAUGUAAUUUAGCCUUAAAAUUUAAAUUUUGUGAUCUAAACAAGCCCUACAAGCAUCCUUCAUAUCUCCUCUGUUACUGUAAACCUCUCAUCAGAGUAGUAUAAGUGAUUUCAUCUGGGGCAAUUGUAGUUCCUCUCCAUUUCUUUUUUAGAAUACUAUAAGGUUUUGUAUUGAUUGAUCAUUACAUAUUACAUAAGGGUACAAAAUAAAAAGAUCGAAAAAGCAAAAGUAAAUUAUUGAUAGAAAGCACAAUUCUACUUUUUUCUGUUUUCAACCAGAAAUCAAAAUCGGAAUGAAUAGUUUUCGUUUGUGGAUGUUUGAUACGCGAAAAUCUUAUGACGAUUCUGAUUCCCAAGUGGAAUGCAAAUCCUCCGAUUACUCCUUUCUCAAUUCAGCCAAAAAAGGCCGGAUUGGAAGUUGAAAGUUUGUUCUAAAAAUAUGUCCACGAUAUUUUUAUUUUUAUUUUAAAUUAAAUUAAUUAAUUUACUUUAAUUUUUAAUUAAAAUGUAGGUUUAAAUUUUAAAAAAUAUUUUUAGAUUUUAAUUUGUACGUAAUUAAAAUUUUAAUCCAAUUAAUCAAGCAUUAUGAAUUUUAUUUAUGAAUUAAUAUUUCAAUUUCAAUUUAAAUUUUAUGUUCAAGUUUUAAAUUUUAAAUUUUAUUUAAACUUUAUGGAUUCAAGCUGAAAUUUAAAUUAUUUUAAGUUUGAAUUUGAAUCCAAUUGAAAAUUAGCUUUAUAUUUUGAAUUGUCCACUCAAUUUUAAAUUUUAUUUUUUUAAAAAAAUAUCUUUAAAAUUUUGACAUAUUAUUUUAAAAUUUUAAUAUAAAUUUUUAAUAUUUAAUUUUUUAGCUUGAAAUUAAUUAUAAUUUCUUAUUUUUAAAUCCAAAUGACUUUUAUAAGGGCUUGUUUAAUCCACUCCAAUUUUCAGUUUUUGAUGUUGCAAAAGAAAAAAAAAUAAUAAAAUAAUAUGUUAGAAAAAUUAAUAAUUUUUUUAUAGCUAUACCAAAACCUGACAAACGAGCGGAUUGAGCAAUUUGCCGGCAAGUUAUCGUAUACAUAAGUCAUGCAGGCAUGAAUAAAAUUUAUUUAUAAAGUUUUGGAGAGCCAACAUUCUUAUGCAUAUCCGAGGAUGUGCGGUAGGCAGCAGAUGGGCAUGUGGGCUAUCUAUAAGAUGCUCUUGUUUAUUGUUUUUAUGCUUUCCAAAUACAAAAUGCAAAUAUAUAUAAUUUUUUAAAAAUCAUAACAUAAUUUUUUUUUUGAGAAAUAAGUAAAUAUUCUACCUGCUUCGUUUAUUUCAUUUAGAAAUAAAUUUAGCUAAAAAUGUGAAUCAAUUAUGAUUCAAAUUUAGGACCUCAGGUACCAACUACUAAACUCUUUACCACUUACGCUCAGAACGAUCAAUAAAAUUAUAACAUAUUUAAACAUUUAAACUAUCACAACAUGAAAUAAAUAAUAUAUAGAAUUUUAAAAUGACACGAAGAAAAAUUAGAGUUAGAAUCCUAAAGAUAGAUAAAAUAAAAAAGUAUUCUUUCUUAACUUUUUUUAAAAAAUGGGUAUAUGAGGAGUCGCAAAAAAUGUCUAUGAUUAAAGGAAUACCUAUCCUUUUUACUCCUGAUUUUUUUGGAUAAAAUAGUUAUAAUCUUAUAUUCAUAAAUCUGCCGAUAAUCCACAAAUAUUCGCGGAUAUGGAUAGAGAUUUAGGGAUCAUGCUCUACUUGAAUAGCAAUUUUAGAAGACUUUUUUAUUUGGCUAAACAAUCCUAUAUAAAGUCUAACAUUUCUCCAAUUAAAUAAAGUUGGCCAAAGGUCCAAUAAUUUGUCCCUAAAUUUUAGAGGUCCUCCAAAUGACACGUGGCAAAAUUAUUUCAAAUGAUUGGUUAGGUGGACAAAGUAAUCUACAUCAAAAAUCAAAAAUAAAGAUGCUACAAGGAUAAAAAGAAUAUCCAUAUAUUAUUUUAAUGACAUAACAUCCUUGUACUUGGUAUAUCCCUUGUGUCUCUUUCCAAAAAAAAAAAAGAAAGAUAUUAAGUUUGUAACCAUUAGGUUUGAAACUUGCUCUUGUAUUAUAGAUAUGGACUACUUCCAAGGAUCAUUUUUAUUUCCAUAUUUUUUAUUGUUUUAUUUUAAUCUUAUCGUUUAAUUUGAAUUGAUUUUGCCAGUACGUUACGCAGUUGUUUUACAUGCACACUAGAUAAUAAACUAAUUCUAUUAUUAGAUUUCAAAUAAUGAAAAACUAGUUUUUUCAAUCAAAAAAAAAGAAAAAGAAAAGCUCAUCCAUAGAUCUUACAAAAAUUAAAUCAUUUGGUGGGCAAGGGAGACAAAAAAGGCUACUUCAUUCUUAAAUUUUAGAAUAUCAAAGUAAUUAUUUUUCAUUUUUUAAGAAAAUUUUAGACUAAUUUAUAGCAUAUUUCUAUGCCACAUUUAGCGCAGAGUCUUAUGGUCAUCACAUAAAAAGUCAUAAUAUAAAUUACAAACAAUUCAUAACUUUCAGUACAACUCAUGCUUCUCAAUGACGGGGAUUAUUUCCAUUUUUUUUUAUAAAAAUAUAUUAAUUUGGUGAUUCAGUGUAUCUGUUGAUUAAAUAUGACCUAACCUUCUAAAUAUAUAUUCCUGAACUCGUAAAAAAAUUUAAAUAAUUUGGUAGUUAGCAAUCUUUGUUUAAAAUAGUUGAUUAUUGUCCUAAGACUCUUGCUUCCUGGUCAGAAAUUCGAAUCCCUAUUUUUGUAUUUCUAUAAACAAAAUUUAAAAAAAAAAAUAAAAAAAUAGAGAGAAAGGGUACUAUGUUUAGUAGUUGUUGGUGGAGAGCCUAGAAAUGUCCAUAAAAAUUUGGCUUCUUCUCUCUAAGCUCCAAAAACUUUGUAGGAGAAUGUUACAAGAAAAAAAGAUUGUAUGUAUCAAAUAUAAAAUGAUAAAAGGAUCUCGACGGAUCCGUUUUUACAAAAUCUGAAAACAAAUCCAAACAAAAAAUCAAAUUUCAAAUCGUAUCCGAACCAGCCCGAAUAUAAAAAAAUUGAAACUGCCUCACAAAAAUAAAAAUUAUAUCCAAAUCUUUAAAAAAAUCGAAGACAGCUAUUUAAUAUAUUUAAUAUUAAAUUAAAUUAUAAAUACAUAUUUAUUAUUAAAAUAAAGAUAUAAAAAAGUUUUAUUAUAUUUUAUAUAUAUAUAAUUAAGUUUUUCUAUGGGUUAAAUUCUUAGUAUGGUUGUGGGUUUGAUUUGGUUCAAAUCUAAGCAAAAAUCAUAACGAGAACCAAUUAAUUCCUGUUAUUAAAAUCAUUCCAUUUAUGCUUCGAUUAAAACUGUCUCAAUUGGGUUUGGAUUCGGAUAAAUUAUCGGAUAUCCAUAUCCAUCAACAUCGUUUGGAAGUUGAAGUGAUUCAAUCAUGCAAGAAAACCCACUCCUCCACUCUUCUUUGCUCUUUGGCUUCUCAAACCAACAUUUCAUAACUCUCUCUCUCUCUCUCUAAAUUCACAUGUUUUGUUCUCUAAUAAUGGGUCUUUUUAGAAGAAUCAUCCCAUUAAUUUGUUUAGCUCUAUUAAGCUAUGCAAGUGCUUGCUCUAAUGGAGCAUGCAAGGUUAGUGCUCUCUCUCUCUCUCUCUCUCUCUCUCUAGAUUAGUUUGAAAUAGAAAUAAGUAAAAUUGUAUGGAAUCUCUCUCUUCUAUGAACAAAAAUUGUAUGGGCACCGUCCCCAAACUAAUCCCCAACUAUUAGUUUGGGGACGAUGUGGAUGGGCGCUGUGUGGUGAUCGCGCACGUAUCUCAACCUUCUCUUUCUCUCCAUCUGCUUCUUUUUCUCUCUCUAAAAGCUCAUGGCGCACGAAUUUUCUUUUUCUUUUUCUUUUUUUUCUAUUUUUGUUCUUUCGAUAGGCGCGCGCUGACCACGCGGCGCCCAUUCACAUCAUCCCCAAACUAAUAGUUUGGAAACGAUGCCCAUACAAUUUUUGUCCCUCAACUGUAGGCCAUUUUGAAAUGUUCCCUCAACAGUUUUUUCUUUUUUUCUUUGCAUUUGUCUAAAUCAAGUGACACUUCUUAGUUUUCGAUAUUUUUAUUUGAGUGAAUCCAGUUGAUUAAUUUUUUUCAAAAAUUUAUUUAAUUUAUUAAUCAUUUCAUCAAAUUUGAUUAUUUAAUUAUUUUUCAGCAAAUAAAUUAGAAUAAUUAAUAGCUAAUAGUUAAUGGAACCAUCAUAUGAAAUUUUUUUUUAUUUAACCAAUUAGAAUAACUGAUUUAAAAAAAAAAAAAGAUAAUUAGUCAACUAUUUUAUUUUAUUUUAUUUUAUAUUAUAUGAUAAUAAAUUCCAUGUACAUAAAUGUUUCACAGCUACAUGACAGUUGCUCCUCUAAUGGGGAUUGUGAGCCCGGUCUAUAUUGCUUCAAUUGCCAGCUCGAAUUCUCUGGUUCACGGUGCGUCCGGUCCACUGUUUCUAACCCCUUCGAGAUAGUUGUAAUUUCCCCCUCCCAUGUUUUCAUAAUUUACUUUUAGUCCCUCUCUUAUUUAUUUCCUGUUUCUGCAUCUUUCUAUACAUAUUUUUGCACUCGUUUAGUAGUAAAAUGGCUUCUGAAUGAAUAAUGUGGAUUGGGCAAAUAAACUUAUAUAUCCCUAAAAUGUUUGAAAAAUUAUGAAUUCGCCCCGUGAAAUUUUGAUUCCCAAAGAGAAAUACUAUAUGUAUGUGCAAAAAGUGAGUGUAAAUCUUACAUGCUAUCUGUCCAAACUCGAAGGCACAAUGUUUUCACACUAACGUUAUAAUCUUUUUUUUAAUAUUAAAAAUCCAAAAGAGGUGUUUGAACUCUGGGAUCAGAGGUUUAUAAGAUUUACACCUGAUUAUCAGGUGCCCAUGAUCAAUCUGAUAAGAAGGGAUAAGAAUUAAUCUUAAUAUCCCUACUUAAGUGCAUGAUGGAUAUCAGAUGAAUCAUGCCAUGAAUACUUUGUUGGUGUGCAAGAUAUAUGAUUCUAUUAUUUGUAGCACCUAGUUUUAGUUAACAUGUUAUCUAGCAUAUUUGCUCAUUCCAUUGCUUGUAACACUACACUGUUUCUAUAAUUUGGUAAUCCUUUGAUAACAGAACAACUCACUGCCAUUCAACAAGUAUGCAUUUCUCACCACACACAACUCCUUCGCCAUCGACGGAGAGCCGUCACACACCGGAGUUCCGCGCGUCACCUUCGACAAUCAAGAGGACACUGUCACACAACAGUUAAAUGUAUGUGUGUAAUGUCUCACACAACACACAACACACAACAGUUAGAUGUUUCUAUUUUUCAUUUUAUACCAAAAAAAAAAAAAGCCUUCUUAGUGAUUAAUAUUGUUUAAGUUUUAUUUGUAGAAUGGUGUGAGAGCCUUAAUGCUGGAUACUUAUGACUUCAAAGGUGAUGUGUGGUUGUGCCAUUCAACAGGGGGGAAAUGCUAUGAUUUUACUGCAUUUGUAAGUAUAAUUUUAACUUGUAUAUUUUAGUACCAAUGUAUUUUGAUUUGCAAAAUUUUCGCUUUUUAUAGAGUCAUUUUGCUUUCAUAUAUGUUAGUCAUGCUUAAGUUAAGGCACUGAUUGUUUUUGUAAUCUUAGUAUCUGAUUUCUAUAUAAUAACUCAAAGAUGUUGUUUACAAAGAUUAAUUAUCUUUGCAGGAACCUGCUCUAGAUACCAUGAUGGAAAUCGAAGCCUUUCUGUCGGCGAAUCCAUCUGAAAUCGUCACGCUGAUAUUAGAAGACUACGUACAAGCUCCGAACGGACUGACGAAAGUAUUCAACGAAUCAGGAUUGUUACAGUACUGGUUUCCUGUUUCGAAAAUGCCCCAAAAUGGCGAGGAUUGGCCUCUCGUGAGCGACAUGGUCGCGAACAACGAGCGCCUCCUCGUAUUCACUUCGAUCCGGUCGAAGCAGGAGACCGAAGGGAUAGCCUAUCAAUGGAACUUCAUGGUCGAAAAUCAAUGUAAGAAACUUCUCUUCUUUCACUUUUUUCACUGUCUGUUUGGAUGCGUGAAUAUCUUGUUCCGUAUAUAUCUUUCUUUUAUGAUAGUUAUUUAGUCGGGAGUAUGAAAAGAUGUUUUACAGUAAUUGCAAUCUUUUUUGGGGGGACCUUAUUAGAUAAGUCGCGUUAUGACGGAACAUGCUAGAAAUUAUCGCCGAAUUACUUAUUCCAGCAUCCAAAUACGCCCCCGGUGAUGAAUUUUGGCAAUUGUUAAAGUGAAACUAAACAAGGAGUUACAAAACUAUCAAUGUUAUCAUAAUUGUUCUUCAUUUUAUACUUACAUUACCUGAUCUCUAAUCUGAAUACAUUAUCAAUGUAGAUGGAGAUGAUGGAAUGGAAGCUGGGAAGUGUUUUAACCGCGCAGAAUCGUCGCUGCUCAACGACACAACGAAAUCUUUAGUUCUCGUAAACUAUUUUCCGACGAUUCCUGUGAAACUGACGUCGUGUUUGCAGAACUCAAUGGGCCUUGUGGACAUGCUCAAUACCUGCUACAUCGCAUCGGGUCACCGCUGGGCUAAUUUCGUAGCAGUUAACUACUACAAGGUAAGUAAUUUACAGCUGUUCAGAAGAUGUUCACAAAAUCUGCAGUUUGUUGAUUUAGUUUUGGAUUAACUGGUUGCAAAUUUAGUCCCUAAGUGUUGGCCUCAAUCUGUUAGAAUUGAAACUCUGCAGAAGAAAUUCAAGUCAGAACUUAAACACAUUGAAUUGUUAAAAUUGAAACUCCGAGGAGACGACAUAUAUUGCUGAAACCAAAACUCUUGUCGCGAAAUUCGAAUCGGGGUCAAUCUUUAGGGACUAAAUUAUAGGCAAUAUUGAUUUUUGUUUGAUAAUUUGCGGAAUUUGUGGGCAUUUGAGCAUUGAGAAAUAACCUUAAUAAUCAAAAUUUUGCAUUGAUUUUGUAUAGAGGAGUGAUGGGGGAGGUGCAUUUCAAGCCACUGACAUGCUAAAUGGGAGGCUUUUGUGUGGAUGUCAGGAUGUUCAUAAUUGUUCAGUAAGUUUCCAAAUUUUUAUCUGAAUUUUAUGUAGCUUUAUAAUAUUCUUGACAAAAUUUACAUGUGGGGAAUCACCAUUUACAUUUUCUAGUUCAAAAAAUUUCCUAAUUUUGAAAAUGCAAAGCAUACUAAAUUGAUAGAAGCUAAUAGAAAAUAUGGUAAACAAAAAUAUUAGGGAGUGUUAAAUAAUGCGAAACAACUGUAAGUUGCCCUACAGCUUAAGCUACCAAAAAAUAGUGUUCCUAAUAUCUAUAUUUAAUACUCUCCUUUAGGUCUGGACUCUGAGACUUUUUUGAUAGACCCACGACACAGAUUUGAAUCAAAUUAAGAGAAAAUUAAAUAACGCUAAGAGUUUGACGGAAUUUGAAAUCAGAAUCUUAUACUCUGAUACCAUGUUAAAAAAAUGUGAAACAAUCUUUUGUUCUCCAAUAGCUUAAGCUAUUAGAGGAUAGUGUUAUCUGAAUGAAAAUUUUCUAUGAUUCUCAAAUUUUAUGAUUGUAACAAGGAUAAAUUGCACUAGUAGUCCCCGAACUUCGAGGCAAGUUUUAUUUUUGUUAAAUAUAAAAAACUUUGAACAUCGUUUUCUAACAGCUUAAGUUUUUAGAGCACAACGGUUGUUUCACAAUUUUGAUCCCUGCACUUUUGAUUUCGACAUUCAAGACAUUGAACUUUCAAUAAGGUUCCAUCUUAGACCCUUAACUUCCAAAAAAUUUCAUUUUGGUCCUACCUUACAGCACAAAUUGUUGCGUGCGCCUAAUUCAUAUGCAUAUUCGUACACCAUAAAUUCGUCGGUUCUUUACCACAUCUCAUACUUUCAAUUCAGCAAUCGAAUUUAUAUGUAGACGAAAAUUCUAACUUGGCGAGAGAUAAGUUUGAAGCAUGAGAUAAUCUUUGAAUUGAAAGUAUGAGAUAGAUGAAGAACGCAGAGUUUAUAUUGUACGAACAAGCAGAUGAACUAGAUAAAAAUAAUGAUUUUAGUUUAAUGUAAGGACUAAGAACUAAAAUAAAAUAAUUUUGGAAGUUUGGGGAUUCAAUUAAAACCUUACUAAGAAUUCAAUGUCUCGAAUGUCGAAAUCGAAAGUUUGAAAACCAAAAUGAAACUUCACUCAAUGUUCGGGGACUACUAAUGCAAUUUUCCCAAAGAUAUGUUUAACACCACCCUUUUUUUUUUUUUUUUUUUAAGGAUAAUUGUCUACAUACUCUUCAAAACUUUAAUAAUAUUUCAUUUACCUUAACUUUUUUUUCCUGCAGCAAUGAUCUACACCUGGAGCAUGCUCUUCUACAAUAACCCAAUAGGAAGAGAAAAAAAAAAAAAGAAGAAGAAAAGAUUAUAACAUUGUGUGUGGUAUCUCCAUUUUCUUGUUUAUAAUUAUAUAAUUUAUGUAUAAAUUUGUUGUGACAGUUUUUUAUAUUUUUUUUAUGACAGUUAAUAUCUAUUAUAAUCAAUUAGUAUACCUUUUUCUAAUAGAAUUAAAAAAAAAAGAAAAAUUUUCAAAUACCACCUUGUGGUUUUGUAUUUUUUUUAUUUUAGUACCAUAAUACUAAAUUGAUACACUUUAAACUAUAGAAUACUAAAGUAAGAAAAUGCGAAAUCACAAAGAUGGUACUUGAAGUUUACCCCCAAAAAAUGCAUGUUCCAAAGUCAAAGCAUGAUCACAAAAUCAAAAUUGAUUUUGGGGCUUUUCCUUUUUUUUUUUUGGUGGAAAUUUUUGCCGUUCAUUUCACGGAUUUGUAGUAUUUUAUAAACGCUCUAUAUUUUUUAUUCGAUAUUCUAAUAAUAUUAUAGCUUUUAGUCCAUUAUGAGGCACAAAAUUGCCAGGACCCCCUCAAUAUUUUAAAAAUUUUAUAUAGUUCUCUAACUAAUUAGGUAUAGUAAAGAUCAAAAUAUUACAAAUUUUAGUCUUUAGGAGGUCAAAUUAAUUUUUUUUUUCUUACAAAAAUUCAGUACAUUUUUUUCUCUCCCCAGAUUGGUUAAAGUCACGUUAAUUCUUUCGGUUGUAACCGUAAUAUCUGAAUAAGUAUUUUGGACUACAAAAAUCGAACUCCGGAACAAGAUAAAGAAGCACUUUUCAUAAAUUCUUCGGUCGUGAAUAUUAAAAAAGAAAAUUCACCUAAACGUUUUUUGUUGAGAGAAUGGUAGCAUACGAUAUGCUUCGUUUAUUUUUUUAAAAAAUAAACUCAGUUAGAAAUGUGGAGCAAGUAGGCUUCAAACUUAGGACCUCAGAUACCAAUCAUCAAGUUUUUAGCCAGUUGCAUGCACUAGUAACUGUAAUAGACUUUGAACUUAGAAACUUCAAACUUGCAUGUAUUUGUUGUUAGCAUAAAAAAAAUUGUGAGAGAACGGUGUUUAAUCUUCGACGCUCCCCCCUCAAGUUGACCUCACAAUUUUUUAAUAGACUCAAAAUAUAGACUUCAAUUAAUUGAAAGAAAACAAAAUAAAACUAGAAGUCUGGUAGGGUUUGAAUUGGAGACCUCAGACUCUGACACCAUACGAAAAGAUGUAAAAAUAAUUAAUUUCUUCAAACACUUUAAAAAAGUUACUAGAGAAUGAUGUUUCUAAUAUUUAUAUUCAUCCAAUAGUACCAUCUAAAACAGUUCAUAUCGAUGUAUCAAUUAUUAAAAAUAUCGGAAUUGUUUACAUUACCAUUAAUUAGAUUUUUUUUUUUUCUGGUAAACUUUAAUUUCAGAGUUUCACUGAGAUGUCCAUGAGUAACUUUUAUCAGUGCCCAUAUCAUGCUGCAAAAUUUCUGCAGAAAAUUUAUACAAGACAAAUAUAGAAAUAUAUUCCAUUUAACUAAAGGAAAAUCAACAAGAGAUACUUGGAUUCAAAUUAAAUACUACACUUAGUUAAACAACUGCCUCUGCAGCUUCAACUUUUUUAGGCCCAAAUUCCUCGCAGCCUCGCCGCAAAUGACCUCGUCGACUAGAUCCUUAAAAAUCAAUUUUUCGAUCUCCAAAACCAUCUCUUGUAGCUCAUUUCCGAAUUUUUCCCAUCCUUCAACAGUUUUAUUCUUGCCCGACGAUAAUCCAUCCUCGUCGUGAUCGUCGAAGCUGCCAGCAUUUCGGCUUUCAGCUUGAAGUUGGUCAAUCUCCAUGCACACAUCUUUGAACAAUUGCUGGCCGGUCAGCUUCUUCAUACAGAAAAACGAACUCUGUCGAUGAAAUGCGCUUCCAAUUUCCAUUUUCUGGGCUAUAAUUUCGUUCGCGACGUCAAAAACCAGCUUUCGGUGAAGCUUUUCGGGAUUCGGCUUUGGCUUCUUGGCAGGUGUUGUGAGCUGCUCUAUCUUUGUUUGUUCGAGAACAAGAAACAGUUCAGGGUUGAUCGAGCUUUUGAAUUCGGCCGUGAAAUCUUUGCGCAGGAGUCCUGACGCCGAGAGAAUCUCGUAUACGUACCGAUGAUCUUUAGAAUCAAGAAACACUGCGUCUUGAUCGACGGUCACGACUUCGUCGUCUCGUGAGCUCAGCUGUUUGAGUUUCUCGACAAGGGCCGCCAUGUUUUCCAUGUUGGAGACCUCUUUGCUAACUUUAGAAGGCGGUGUGUCCGGUAGGCUUGUUGGAUUCCAGUACUCAUCUGAAGUAUGAGUUUCUUCAACUGCUCCAAGGAAGGGAAAAAAAAAAAAAAAAGAGUUUGUAGAUUGGUUAGUAAACAAGUAGUCACGAAUAUCAUAACUUAAAAACCUUACAUGAUUAUUUGUUUAGGGUUUUUUUAACCUUUCAAUUCAGUUUGAUUUUCAAAAAUAUGUAAAUUUUAAAUUUUCGGGCUUUUUUUGCAUUUGGCUUCCUCAAAAUAUUUUUUUUACAAAUAGUCCCAACAAAUUUAUAAUUACAAAUUUAGCCCUAUCCCCGCCACGCAAGCGCCACGUCAGUAACAUGGUUUUAAGUUGAAUACGGUGAAUCAUUCAUCGUGUUCAAACACGGUGAAUGAUUCACCGUGUUCCAUAUCUAUAUUCCCCUUCUUUUUCCUUUUUAUUUUCCUUAUUUUUUUUCGCAAUACAUAUAUAUUAUACUUUUCCUAAACACGAUGAACCAUUCACCGUGUCUAAACACAGUGAAUGGUUCACCGUGUUCAACUUAACAAACUAGCCCCAACCCCGCUCACGUGGCGCUGACGUGGCACCUGCGUGGUAGGGUUAGGGUAAUUUUUACAAAUAUAAAUUUGCUGGGGCUAAUUUUUAAAAUAAAUUUUUUCCAGAGGGCCAAAUGCAAAAAAAGCCCUGAAUUUUCUUUUAGGAUUUAGUUGAGAAGGAAGGGAUGUCCAAAUGAAAUGGUUAAACUAAACCAAACCAAAUUAUGGCUUGGAUCAAAUAAAUAUUUCAGUGAGGUUCGACCGGUUUAGUCCGGUUCUCAAAAAUCCUCAAUUAGAAAAUGUUGGUCCAACAGAGGAAAACCCCAAAAACUUAACCGAGAUGAAGCGAACAUACUCAUGUAAAAUUAUAUAGACAACCAUUGUUCUCCAAUAGCAAGGAGCCUGACUCCCGCUCUGUUCUGAUACCAUAUUAAAUUAUAUAAAAUAAUUGUUGUUCUCCAACAGCUUAAGUUAUCAGAAAGCGGUGUUUUUAAUAUUUAUAUUCAACAACAUAGAAUUUCCGAGUCAUACAUAAGUAUAUCAAAACCAAGGUACAACACACAAACUACGGUUGCAAUAAAGGAAACAACCAUGAUAUUUAUGUCAUCAUAUUAAUGACUAGGUAUAGUAAUGGAUGGUCCAUGAUUAUUGGUUGGUUGUGGUUGUUGGCUUAUACAGCUAAGGAUGUUUGUACCAUAGCUAACAGCUAUUAAAAGCUUUUAGCAAAUUUAAUCGGCAUGAGAAGUGGGGCUUCAUGUAAGUGGUAAAAAAGGGAUUUAAAAGGGUCAUUAUAGCUUUGUUGUCGAAGAAUUUUUUUGUUUCAUUUAUAUUUUGGAACUGUUAAUAACCUGUAUUUUUUUUUAAGGGAGUCACAGUGCGGGGAAGCUUUAGGAGUUAGCUAGAACAUUUAAGCAGGUGAAGAUAGUAACUAGCGAUUUCUACGAAGAACACACCAUGAGUUACCUUGGAAAGAAUUCGAGAUCCGCUUUAGAGGAGAAGACCUAAUGUCGUCCUGGUAAAAUGGAGCGUCGAGGACGGAGACGGGGCUCGGUUGUUCAGGUGCAACAGUUCCAAUGUCUUUAACCGGCAAAUCAUCAUUGAGGAUUGAGUGAUCAUUCUGAACAAAAAGAAAAAGAAAAAGAAUUUAUUUACUGAUUGUAAGAAUAAAAGCAUGAGAAAACAGAUAACUUAUUUUCAGGUCACUAAAUCUAAAUAUGUUACUUAUAUAACCCUGAAAUUUUUUUAUCUAUCUAUCUAUCUAUCUAUAUAUAUAUACCUCUGCUAUAUAAUAUGAAUUCACCUAUGUGGCUCUACUUCAUGAACGAUGAAUCCUAUAAAUAUAAGAAUUUUGAGGUCAACAAUGGUAACAAUUUUGCUUUUCUUUUUCGUAGAAAUCUUGUUAAAAUUAAACAAAACAUGAUAUUUCCAUGAAAAAUCAGAGAUAGAAGACAAAGUCCAUACCUUCUCAUUCGACAAAAGAUCAUCACCCUUGGAUUCCCUGAUGUCGAGACUCUUCAUAUUUUGCUGAACAAAAGCCGAAUUUAAGUCUAUUUGUUCUAAAUUUCUCUCUCCGACUUCUUCGACUUGUUCAAUAUCAGACCUUUUAGAAGCUUUGAUCUCAUUGUGACCAAAUUUUCUCCUCUCGCUUCUUUUUACUGGAGCACUUUUCGGUCUUUGUCCACUUCUCGGAGAAGCUGGUUCAGGUAGCUGCUUAUCUGUAUAGUGCCUUUUGGGCUUCUUCAAAUUAUUAGAAGGAAUAGGAGGAAGAGACUUUCUUUCUGAUUCUACCUUCCUCAGCAAUCUUGGGCUGACGGAGCUCGGAGUUUCCACAGAUCUUUCAGUUGCGAGCUUAAUUUGUGAUCUGCCCUUUUCUGAAUGAGUAUAUUCUUUCCCCGCAUUGAAUUUCUUAUCUCUUGAGAGAAAUACAUCAUUAGGGACCUUUUUCUUUCGUGAAUCCAAUUUUGCGGGUUUCAUAAUAACAAUGGGAGAAUCAAAAGCUCUCGAGGUGAUGUUUCCUUUGACUGUUAUUGUCCUAAAAUUCCAGUCAUGUCUAUUACCAACUUGUUUACUGAAUUUUCCGCGCGAUAAUUCUUUAGCGAACUCGAUUUCUUUCAAUUUUUUCUCAAACUCCCCAUAAAUUGGCGCAUCUUUUCGCUUCAUUUCAGGCUUACGGUAUCCAGUUGUGGCUCUUUGGAUAGCACUUUGAUCCUUCUCUCUCCAAGGAGCUGAUUCAGUUGAAACCCUAGAAGAAGAAGAAGACUUGGGUUUUGAAACCAAAGAAUUAUAACUGACCUUUGGAGAUUCCAAUUCGCCAAAAUAAUUGUACUCUUUUUCCACCUUCGAUCCAUGAACUACCAACUCUUCGCUAGGAAGGGCUUCUAGCCCCAUAAGCUUUGCAAUGAUACUACUUGACCGUCUAUGACCCGGCGAUUCUUGACCUGACGCGAUCGAGAAACUUCGAUUUAAAGUAUUUCGAUCCGAAUCCCUCCGCAUUGAACUGGAUUUUGAAUCAAAGUUUGACCUGUUCAUGGUGCCUUCUUUACUAUCCAAAGAUAGUCUAGGACGUUCCCUUAGUUUGGUAUUUGACUUGCCAUUAUCUCGAGAAUCGACAGACAAGCGCGGUAGUUCUCUACCGUCACAAGAGAAGCGCCGAUUUUCCCUUGAGAUUGCGGAGAAAGAGGCACCUUUGGCUUCACAGUGAGAUAAUUUCAAUGGUUCUUCUUUCACUCCUCUAUUAAUUGCAAUCACGUAAGUCCCAUCGAGUGAUUUGGAUAGAAGCAAAGGCCUUGGAGAGUCUUUAUACUUCAGCUCCUUGUCGCUUUUCACCUCCUUGCAUGAAGUUUUUAUUGAUAAGCCCUUGGAAUCGCCAUUUAUUGAAUCCUUCACGACAUCUCGGAUGUCAAAUGAACUUUUUGCGGGCCUAUCGGAAAAAAACGACUGAUCGACAGAAGAAAAUGAGGAGGAGGAUGUAGAAGAGAAAGACGCUCUUGAUGAUUCUAAUGAGAACUGGUGUGCUUCAUUCGAUCUUUUGCUUAUAUUUUUCUCCUGCAUUAAAAAUCACAUUUCAUAACUUUUUAAUGUACUUAUGUUGAUACGUACGUUAUGAUAUCGAUGAAAAGGGACGGAAAUAUUACCAAAAUGAUCCGCGAAGGAGUUGUAUUAUUCUCUCGUCCUUGACUUUUGCUGUUCGGGAUGGCAUAGCCUAGACAAACAAUUAUAAUUAAGCAACAUAAAGUUAGAUAAUCAUUUUUUACUAGAAAAAGGAAUAUUUUCUUAAUGUGCGAUAGUAACUAAAUUAAUUUAAGAAAAAAUUAUAAUUUAGGACCACUUUGGUCCAAAUAAAGUUUUUGCAGAAGACGUAUAGACAUGUUCAAGAAGCACUAAGAGCUUUUUCCAUUUGAAUUGGACUUUUGAACCUCAAAAGCUCAUUUUAUCUCUACGCCAUAGCAAAGACACGAGAAUUUUUUACUUCUCAAACAAUCGGCUACUGCUUCUCAAAGUAGAGAAGUUGUUCGAGAAAUGACACCACAAAAGCACCCAAAGAAAAAGAUCUUAAGAGGAUUACAGACUCAGCGAAUAUAUAUAUAUAUAGCUCAUGAAUUAGAUUGAUAAUGAUCUAAGAAAAUUACAUGUAUUGUGAUUCAAGCAGAUAAAAUCCAAGCUAUUAGUUUUAGUUCUUAUGAUCAGCUAUACAGCUUUAAUUGACAAUAACGAGAACACUCGACUACAAACCGAAUAUUAAUUCAUCUGCAUUACGAGAAACAGAUUUUGAUUUCUAUCUUCAAACUAAGAAAGGGAAAUAUAUGAAUUUCAGCGAUUUUAACAAUAAUGCGCAGGAAAAUUAAAUUGCAUGCAGUAAAAGGGGUAUUAGCUUUCAAAGUCAAAGCUAUACAUAAAGAAAGAAACUUUUCUCAAUUCAAUGGAGAUCAUUGUUUGCAAGCAAUACUUAGUGCAGCAAUUUGAAGGAAUAAAAACAGAGGCAACUAAGAUUCGCGGAAUUCGCACAAAUGCUUACCCGAAAGAAUCCUCUCAUGGCCAUGCUUGUUGAUCCGCCGCCCGCCGAUGAGGUGGUGGCGAUCGAACAUCUGAAAAAUCCCGGUCAUGCACCCGACCUGCUUAUGAAAAUCCGGGUUUUCGUCGUAAAAUGCAUUCAAAUGUUUCGCGGCCAUCUUCAAUCUCUUCUUUUCUUUUUCUUCUCACUCCCCUCCUUAAUUUACAAGUACUAAUAGAACUUUCAGUUGCUGUCACUAAUUCCAAUCCUCUAAAACCCUAACUCAAAUGUUUAGAGAACAUGAAGUGAAUGUGUGCUCCUAAUUAAUGUAAGUUUUAAGUUUCCUAAUGAAGGAAUGAACCUGGGCAUUCAAUUGAAUUGCAAGUUCACACUUCUGUUGAAGGUGUUUGAGACAGGUGCAGUACAGGUCAUGAAAACAGCACCAACUCAGAGGGAAGAACCUUCCAACUCAUAUGCAACCAAACCCCACACACACACCCCCCCCCCUCAACAUCUUAAGAUCCUGAACCCAAAUGAAACUGCAACAAGGAAUGAGGGGCAAAAGUGGACCAACUUGGAUUGAGAGAAAGAGGGAGGAGAGAUUGAACCUUGAAGGCAAAGAUACAUGCCAGCUUAAUAACUUCCCACUUUUGUUUCUCUUUUUUUCCCCUCUUUUUUUUUUGCUUUGCUUUUUGUUUUCUGGGUUUGAUUCUGUUAAGGUAAGGAGAGGGGGGGAGGGGGGGAAUGUGGAAUGAAGAAGGGUGAGAGAGGAGAGGGAGGGGGCUGAGGAGGCUUUUAUUAUUAUUCCUGAGGAUGGUGUGGGGAGACACCAUUGGCAUGCCAGAUUUAUGAUGAUGAUGGAAAUUAAAGCCUGCUUUGCUUAGCUAAGACUUCUGCAAAUGUGUUGAUUCAUUUCUUUAUUUUUUAAAACUAAUUUAACAGUUUUUAUUUUUAAUUGUAAUCGAAUUGGAAGAGAUUCUCUUUAGCCCCAGUUUGGUAAUGUUACAGUUAAAAACACAAAUUUUAUAUUAUAGAAGGUCCAAAAUUUUAAAAAUAUUUUUAAUUUUUUUUUUUAAAUCAUAAAAUUGUGGUUACAAUUGCUGCCGGAGAAAUAUGUAGCUGUUGCAACCAUAAUUUAAAAAUAUCGGAGGAGAGAAGAUUAUAAACUUUUUUAACUUUUUUUUGAUCUUUUAUAAUACAAAAGUAGUCGUUUUAGCUAUAGCAUUACCAAGCCGUCGGGUCUUAUAAGAUUCAAAAAAAAAAAGAGCUUAUUUUAAUCCCCUACAAUAAUAGUUUGGAAGUAAUAAUAGCUUUAUUUAUCAAAAUUCUAUCCAGUAAAUUCUCUUUUUCGUAGAAUGAGAGAGAGCUUUUCAAGGUUCAGAAGUUCAUUUGGCUUUGUGUUAUACCAAAACUCUAAUAAAUAAUUCUAUUUAUUAUCAAAAGCUCUAUUGAAGAUAGAAAAAAAAAAGAAAGCUGAUUAUGAAUGAAAAAAGAAAAAAAGAAGAUGAUUUAUAAUCUGUUUUAGAAACUAGAUCAAAAUGAGAGCAGCAGGUGGGUCAGAGGUGCUUUGGUCCAUCCUCACAAGGGCAUGUGGGAUGAUCAUUGUGAGUGGGUCUUUGGCUGUCUGGAUGGCCAUGUGAUGGCUGUCAGAGGGAAGUUUAAAGUCCUGUGCUCACAUUAGAGGAGCCUGAAAGUUCAAUGCUUCCACACUGUCAUUUUCUACUACCUUCUCUUGCUAAACCAUCUCUUUAAUUACCAAAAUACCCUUGGUUGAAAUAAUGAAGUGUUUCUCUCUCUUAGGUUCUUUUUCUUUUCUUUUCUUUUCUUUUUUUUUUUUUUGUUGCUGCUUCUUUUCACUUUGUGGUUUCUCUUCUAGAGAUCUAGUUGCCUCACUUCUGUAUUAAAAUUUAUUUUCUUAAAGAAUGAAGCGACCUGUUGUCUUUAUCUUAAUAUUUAUUUAUAUAUAUAAUUGAGAAGUGAUGGAGACAUCCACCCGAGUCCUCUUAUGUGUGGUCACUCCAAAAAAUAAAUAAAUAAAUAGGGUAGAGUGUCUCAAACUCUCCAUUAUACCUUCUUAUUUACUCUAAGAUAAAAGAAUUUUUUUUUAUAAUAUAAUUAUCAAUAAAAGAUGUUGCUCAAAUUAAUGAGUUGAGUACAUGUUUGGUGUAAUCAGACUCAUCACAGUAAGGAUUGUCUUUGGAGCAUGUACAUGUAGAAACCAAUGACAAUCUUUAACUAUCUCUUAGUUUGCCAUUGCACUUGUCUCCUAUCUAGUUUUGUUUUUAAGUUACAUACAAUAGAUAUUAAUUAAUAAUUAAGGGUUUAAUUAGUUUUGCUUUGNUAUAUAUAUAUAUAUAUAUAUAUAUCCUUGAGCAGUGUGUGAGGGACCAUAUAUAGCUGGAUUUUAUUCCUGACAAAAGUGAAAAGUGGAAUAGUAGCUUCAAUAUCCUAUCUUCUCUAUAGAUUUAACUUUCUCUUUAGAAGUGGUGAAAAUUUUUUAAUAAGAGUAAAAAUAUAUAUAUGGUGACAACACUUUUGAACUAUAGGCCAUUCUAACAUAGGCCCCCAAGUUUGUUUUUGGUUCUUUAUUUUUGCCUUUUGAGUUAUUUACAUCAAUUUAAUCUUUCUUAGAAUUAAUAGAUUCUUGGCUACCAGUCAUUGAGUGUUCAUGAAACCAAAGUUCUAAACAUGAAAAACAGGUAGAUAUGGUAAAUUUAACAAAAUAGUGUUUAAUUUAGUGAAUCACUUAUUAUAUUGAAGAAACAAAUCGAUCAAAUCAAAACAAGAGAAGCUGAAGAACGUCACUCGAUCGAGAAAGUAAAGCCGAGAGGUUUAUUUAUUGCAAAAUGCAUGGCAUAUAGCUCGAGGGAGUAAACGGUGUGAAAUUUUGGCAUCAUUUCGUUUAGCGAAAGGAUAAGCAUUCCCUAGCAAAAGAACGAAUUUACUGAUAAGCAUCCCUUAGCGAAAAGAUGAGUCUAUCGACCUAAGUAAUAUUCUGUGUGUCCUCAUCAAUUAAGAGAAGACUUUUUUGUAAGUAUAUGUAGGGAAAAAAAACACCUUGGAUACACAUGGUGUUGUUUGUAACAAGCAAUCAAUGAGAAUGGAAGUGGCCAUGCUUGUUGAAAAGAACAUCACAAGCCACUCAUAUGGAGGCUAGGAGAAGUCUCUCUCUUUGUGUCCUCACCAUUAUUUUUUCGUGGUUAAUUAGAACUUGGCCACUACCCCAAUACUAGUGGAGAGAAAAGGGAUGUGUGAGAGUCUAUGUAUCUAAGAUUCCUCUAAAACAUGCAUGUGAUGGACACCUUAUUGACAAGUCCUUCUCAAUAAAAAGUUUUUAAGUCUCUAACACUGCAAAGGUCAUCUUGUAACUCUUUACUAGUAUAUACAUAUAUACACACACACACACACAUUAUGUAUGUAUAAAUUAAGAAUUUGAUAUACACCAAAAAUCCUAUAUAUAUACCAUGUAGGUUCAUGAAUCACUAGUAUAAGUUGUUGGUAUACAAAAUUCUAUAAGGUCAUCAAUAAAGAUUAAUCCUCAAAAUUAAUGAGUUUGCCUGUUAAUUUGAUUGCAACCACGCAAUGUAAAAUGGUAGAAGUGUUGAUAUAGGACCAAAAUGGACUAGUUCAUGGCCCCUUCUUUUCAAUCAAAUAAUCUAAACAUGCAUGAAAAAGAUUGAGUUCGUUCUAAGAAUGGUGAAUCUCUUAUAAAAUUAAAUGUACUUGCAAAUCAAAUUAAUUGUCCCUAAUGCAAAAUCGACGUGCAUUUUGUCCUCGAUGUCCUUGUAAGAAGAGAAUUGUUCAUGUGAUCUCUCGUAAACCUCGUAAUUAUGAGCUGCGAUAUUAAAUAAUUUAUAAGUAGUUUCCAAUAUCAUUCUCUUAUAUGUUCUAACUUCCAUCAAUAUUCUCCUAGGAGCAAGCUGGGCUACUGGCUUUUAUUGUUCUCAAAAAGUGUCCAUAAUCUAUAUCCUAAUUCAAGCAUCCUCUUCCCUCAUAAAAGAAUGCCUCACUUGUCUCUUAUUGUUACACACAUAUAUAUAAAUACAACUACAUAGUUUUAUAGAUACAUUAUGGCAUAUUAUAUAUAUAUAAAAUAUAUUACAUGUAUAUUGCAUGCAUGCAUAUACAAUUAAUAAGUACAUAAAAAGAGGUUGCUAGGUAAGGAGGGAUACUAUGUACCCUACUUUGUGCAAAGAUGAUGGUGAUUUGUGGAUGUAGGAUAAGAAUAAGGGGAGCAAUUCCACAUGCAUAAAGUGGUGGUGAUCACAUGGUGGGGGUUUGAGGGAUUUAAUCCCUUUUUGCUUCAAUAUGUAGAUAGAGGUUGCAUGAUGCACCAACUGGCUUGAACCAUUCACUUCCUUGGCAUGUUCCAAUCAUCAAAGCACUUGUACAACCACAUGGGCCACAUCAUGUCAUGCCUCUUCUCUUUUCCUUGUUGGGUGUUAAUUUGCAAAAUACUUAUCCAUGGCUUUUACUCAAGUUUUAUUUUGGUUCUCGAACUCCUUUUAAAUAUUCUGACAUUCGAGAUUUUACAUCGAUCGUCAUUUUUUUUUUUUUUGAGAGAUAGAUAGCACGUUAUCCGCUUCGUUUAUUUCAUUUAGAAAUAAACUUAGCUGAAAAAAUAAAUCAACUAGGAUUCGAACUUGGGACUUCAGAUACCAACCAGCAAGUCCUUUACCAUUUGCUCUAGGGACGGUCGGUUACAUUGAUUGCCAUUAAUGUUUCAUUCUAGUUAUAUUCAUAUAUAUUUCACAACUGAAUUAGUUCUUCAUUCAUCUCUUAUUUUCUUUUCAACGGUCUAACUUUUGUAUAGAGAAGAGAUUGUAAUUUAAUGGGUGUUGAGGUUGAAAUAUAGGAUGAAAAAAGAAACUGGUGCGCGCAGACAGUAUAAUUUGCCCUCUAAUAGUAGGUAUUAGCAAAGCCUAAUCGCAGUGAAAAUAUUUCGAGAGCUGAAGAUUUCUAAUGUCGAAUUUAAAAGUUUCGAGACCAAAGCAAAACUCCGUCGAAAGUUCAGGGAGCGGUGAUGCAAUUUGCCUUUUCUAUAUAUAUAUUUUAAUUAAUUUCAAUAACAAUGACCAUACUAGAACACACCCAUGUGAUUAGAGUGAAUGAGAUGUUAAAUAAUGGCUAUAAGUGUAGCCUAGCUUAGGUUUUUAAUGAAGGGACAAGGUAGUGGAUACAUUGCCCAUGUGACAUGCAUGGAUUAAUAUCCUGUUAGAACUAAAACCGAGAAGAUUUAAUUCGUCGGAUGCGAAAAUAUCAAAAGAGAUCCGAGAAAGAGAGAAGAAAAAUAAAGUACAUAAUAUUUACGUGGUUCAGCCAACGGCCUACGUCCACGGACGAAGACGGAGCGGAAAUCUUCAUUAGAAUCAAAGUGGUGUACAAAACAUGUCUCUCUCACCAAACCCUAAUCCUAAAAAAUACACCCAUAUUCCCUUUCUCAUCUUCCGCACCAAAUCAAUGGUAUAAAGGGUAUAUUUAUAAUAGUGGCUAAAUCCUAAUACAACUAGGAAUACAAAUCUACUAAAAUUAGGAAUAUCUCAAUAAAAUUAGGCAUAAUCUAAACUUAACUUAAUGGGAUAAUCAAAACAGAAUAGGAUUAGAAAACCUUACGGUACUAGAAUUCGAGACAUAUCUAGCAUAUCCUCCUUUAGUUAACUUAGUAAUGCAUGGUUGAGAAAUAAAAGAUUUAAAAUUAUUCCAUCUUAGAAGUAUGAUUGGUCAAACAAGAAUGAUUAAUUCUUUAAUUGUGCCCGUGUGGUGAGGUUCCAACUAGAUCGUUUUGGUAUAAUUUGUUUAUAAAAUUUCAAUUAAUAUUUAGGAUGUUUUUUUUUUCUCUCUCUUUUUGUGAUUUGAAUCAUUUUGGGCGAGUAAAUGUACUUUCAUUGUCGCUACUAAUUAGUUAUUAGCCAUUUGGAAAAGGAAGUAGUAAUGAGUCACAAAAUAAUAUAAUAAUAAUAUAAUAAUAAUAAGCUAGAGAAUGUAUUGCAAUUAGGGAUGCAAACGGAACAGAUCCGAAGGUGGGAGAGGUCUGUAGAAUGUACCGCUUCGUUUUUUUAUCUGGUCGGGGUGAAAGCGGGCGGAUUAAUUUUAAUCCUACCCUCACUUAACAUUCCACUGAGGGCUAAUCGGGAGGGAAGCAGAUUUUUGACGGAUCGAGAUGGAUCAACAGAAGAAAGGGGUCAAGGGUCUCCCACCGCAUUUACACUCGGCGAAUCGGGGCAUAUUCGAGACAAGUUAUAUUUUUCUAUAUUUUUGAAGAUCAUUUAAAUGGAUCCAUUUGUAAUUGCAAUGGCAUAUGCUUAUACAUUGGUGGGUUCUUUCAUGUGAUGGAUAAUCCAGUUGGAGUUGCCUAUUACUUGACAUAAUCCAGGGAACAGUAGGCAAAUUCAUAAUAUGGAAUUUGCUCUCAUUACUGGUGCAGUUGUAGUGGUAUGUAAUUCCAAACAUUGUGCUUAGUUUGGGGCAGUGAAUUCAACUACUACAGCUGGAAUUGCACGAAUAGUGACAUUUGCAAUAUUUUGGAAAUAUAUUCAAAUUGAUCAGAAUUCUAACUAUAUACAGCUGCCGAAGAAAAUAGUUUUAAGCGAAAAACCAAAAAGCUUAUCCACUUAAUCACCUUUUGAACAGAAUAAAUAUAUAUUUUUUUUCUACAGUAGAGAUAAUCUCACCGGCACUGCACUAUAUAUAUAUUUGAUAAAAUUCUUAAGUACGAUUCCCAGCUAUACACGCAACCAAACAAAUUACUUGAAGUUGCUGUAUUUUUUACUAUAUUCAAUCAAUCACACACGAUACAUAUAUAACUAUUGUAUUUUUAACCGCAUGUUUUUCUAACUAUAUUAACUACUACGUACAGUUACAAAUACACGAAUAGGGACAUCCGCAACAUUUGGAACUAUAUCCAAAUUGACCAGAAUUCCAAUUAUAACUGCGGGAGAAAAUAGUUUUAAACAAAAAAACAAGCUUGUCCACUUAAUCACCUUUUAAACAUUUUUUUUUUUCUUACAGUGGAUAAUCUCACGCAACACACGCAAUUUGGAAAUUAUCCUGAAUGAUGUUCCGAAUUUUUACUGUAUUGUGGAUCUAUCAGAGGAUUUAUUAGUGUUUUUUUAUCCUAGCGAUUGCUUCUAUUCUUAGUUACAAUCGUCUUUAACAGAGCAUUUGACAAAACAUAAAGUGUGGAGUCUUUAUUGUGGCGAAAAAUAGAAAUAAAAUUUUGAAGCCCAAAACAAAAGGAACCAAUUUAGGACUUCUACUCCUGCAGGAGGAAAAAAAAAAUGUUUUGUAUAAAUUUUUGAGCUUCAUUUGGUUCGGAUAUAAGCAAAAACUAGCUAUUACAGGGAUAGAUACAAAUAUGGGGAUAAGAAAAAUAGCGUUUGGAUGAAAAUUGAGUUGUUUUCGGGGAUAAGAAAAAUAACGUUUGGAUAGAUAAUAGUGGAUAGUUAUAUAUAGAAAAUGGAGGUGUUGGUGGGAAUAGUUAUACCAACUUAUUUCAGGUACCGAAAAAUUACUAUUCUCGGAUAAAAAAUUUGCGUUUGGGUGUAAAGGGGGAUAAGAGGUUAUCCCUCCCCUUAUUACUAAUCCAAACGCUACGGAAAAAGGUCUAAAUUGGAGUUAAAAAAAAAAAAUUACAUAAGGUCUGUCUUGGUGUGUUUCUUUCACCUAAAAGUAGAGAUGAGUGAAAUGAUUUUUGACAAUAAAUAUACACUUUUAUUGUUUGGUUCAUCGUAACUUCACUUUAGGUCAAAACUCAAACUUUUCAAAUUUAACGUAAUUGACUUUGGCUCAUUCCAAACCAAAAUCAAUAUUAACUCAUCUUUCACACCGUCAGCUUUUACGUUAUUCAUUUUUAACUAAAUUAUAGAAAAAUUCUAUGUAAGUACUAGUUUUUUCACUUUUCCUCCCAGAUUUUCAAAAAUUUACAUUUUGUCCUUUUAAAAUUUCAAAAAUACUUUUAGGGGAUGUACAGCGUUAAAGGAGAGGGCAAAAUGACCAAAUUACCCUUAUUUCUUUUGCAAGAGCAAAAAUAAUUUUUUAAUAUAUUUAUGCAUUUUUAAGGGCAUUUUCGGUAUAAAAUGUAAAAAAUGAAUGGAAUAACGAAGGGGGGCUCGAUGCAACCGAUUGAAAUAUUUUUCUUUUUUUGAGAAAAAGAUAGCACACUUCAUUCAUUGAAAAUGUGAAUUAAGCUACAAGUGUGGGGCAACCAGGCCCCGAGGAAAAAAAGAAAAGAAAAAAAGAAGCUAAUUAAGGCAGUAUUGACUAUUGAGAGGAUAAAAUGUAGAAGAUAUUUAUAAAGAAAUUUAAUAUUGAGAGGAUAAAAUAUAGAUGAUAUUUAUAAAGAAAUUUUCUGUAAUUUAAAUUUUAUAUAUAUUUUGCCAAACAAACAAUAUGUAAAAGUAGAAAAAUUUCAAUUUUACGGCUAUACAAACAAACAGCGAAAAUCUUAAACUUCAUGAAGAGUAACCCCACAUCAUGUGAUGGUGGGUCGAAGAUGUGCGCACAAGCAGGAACACCAUUCCAACGGAGCAAUGUCGGCCGUAUGAUCUGCCCCUCAGCACUGAUCCCCGGACACAUCAUGAUGAUCAGUUGAUCACCACCAAAAUUAAAUAAUUGAUGGAUCACGUACAACCAAGCCAAACAAAACCAAUUAAGCCAUAAAAGAGUACGUACGUGCUUAAUAAUUACAACUCCGUCAAAAUCACCACCACCAAUUUUGAUGGCUCUCCCUCAACCUCUUGUUGACUUGGUUGGGAGCAAGAACAAGGCCUUUGGGUUACUUGUGUGUGCAUGCAUGUGAUUUUGCUUCUUGGAGAUUGAGACACUCCCCUCCCCCCCCUCUUCUUUUUGGUUUUUUUUUGUUUUUGGCUUCGAGGAUUAAGACCCUUCAAUGAAAUUGACAAGUGUGGAGAGUGACUGAGCCCUAGCCUGGUUCUAAAUUUGGUGGGAGAGGGAGAGUACCUGUUUUGCCUCGCUUUCGCCGUAUUGACAGCCAUUUUGUGAACGAUUUGAUAGGAAAAAAAUACUGUGAUAAUAGUGAUAUCUUUUCUAUGCGUCAAGAACACGGACAGAGAGCACGAGACAUAAUAUGACUCGACAGUACAAAAAUUAUAAGGAUAUAUGUAUACAACAGGAGCGCGACUAAUAAAAUAUAAUAUUUUUUAAUAAAUUAUAGUAUUAAUAAAAUUAAUUUUAAAAUAAUUUAAAAAAUUGAGGGUUUAUAUUAGAUUUAAAUGAAAACAUCUAAAAAUAAAUAACCCUAAUUAAAAAAAUCGUAAUGUAAAUAAAUUAUAUUACCCUCAUUAAAAAAAAAAUUAUAACACUAAGGGGAGAGAGAGAGGGAAAGAGUACUUUUGAAAAUAAGAAUCUCUUCUAGAGGAAAAAGGGCUAAGGCUUCGUUUAGCAUUGCACAGAAAUUGCUUUACGUGCGUGUUGGAAAAAUAUCUUAUUUAUUGCCGUACGUAAUAUUGUGUUCGGUAUAUUACGAUGAGUUGGUUACAGUAUAUUUUUUGCAGUCCCACCGAAAAACGCAGAAGCAUAUCCCUAUAUGCUUUUUUCUCAACUUCAUUUUAUCUAAUAGCGUUAGAUAGAUCUCAAUGCCAAACUAAGCCUAAGAAGAGGGGGCCGGUAAUUCUUUUAUUUUUAUCUUUUUAUCUAUACUGUAUAUAAAAACAUAUAUUUUGAAUUUAAAUUUGUUGGCAGACUUAUUAUUUGGCGGAAAAAAAUUUCGGUUCCUCUUUUCUUUUCUUAUGCAAAAUAAGUAACGAAAUAAAAUUUUAAUUCAUUUUUUCCCUCUAACCGAAAAUCUUUUAUUUUUUAUUAUAUAUUUCUAUAUCAUUUCAUAUCUUUUAUUUUUUAUAAAUAUUUUUAUAUUAUCUACUAAUAUUUAGUUGUUAUAUUACCAUUUUAUUGAUUGCAACCAACAAUCAAAUUUGAAUUUAAUUUUAAAUAUAUAUAUUUUUAAUCUUAUUUGAUUUUAAAAUUUUAUUUUAUUUUAAAUUCAGAGUUAAAUUUAAUUAUACGUUGAAUAUUUUUUGAUGUUUUUCGAAUUCUAACGAAUCCAAAAUUUAAGUAUGUAUUUUAAACUAAAAAUAUCAAAAUUUUAAUUCUCCUUUAUUCAAAAUUUUAAAUGUAAUUUCAAUCCAUUUUAAAAAUUUAAAUUAUUAAUUCAAAUUUGAUAUUCAAAAUUAAAUUUUAAUUUAUGAUUUAUACGCAAAUUUUAUAAAAUAAAAAAUAGUACUAUAUAAUUAUUGUCGGCAAUAAUUUUAAAUUUGAGUUUGGAUAUGAUAAAUAUUAUCUAAUAAAAUAUUAAAAUUUUACUGUAAAUUUUUGGAUAAAUAUGAUAUAUAAAUUUAUAUUAAUUAUAAAAUAUUAUCAUAAUAAUUAUUACGUGUAUUUGCACGUACACUCAACUAGUUUUCUUAGAUAUAUAGGUCUCGGCCUAGGCUGGACGCGUCACAAAACGAAAUGCACAUAACUCAACUAGUUUUCUUAAAUGCGUCUCACCUUAGGCCCGACGCAUCGUAACACGUAUUUUAUGUCGGAGCGUUCGUUUCUUUUUUUUUUUUAACUAGAUGUAGCGUGAACGUGCAUUGAUCGUGCGUCCAUAGCGUGUCCACGUCCCCAAGUCUGAUUCAAACCUGCAGGGUUUUCCCUAUUGUUCAUGAUGCUUUUUUUUUUUUUGGAGCCCUUUUUCUAACUUUGGUUUCUUCUUUUUUUUGUUUUUUCAUUUUUUGUUUUGUAUUUUUGUGGUCCGUCGGAUUAUUGAGCUUAAUUGUCCCUCUCAUAUAGCUAAGUUUAUUUUUUAUAAUAAACAUUCUCAUAAAAUAGCUAAGUUUAUUCUCAUAUAGCAGAUAACAAACUAUCUUACUCUUAAAAAAAGAAAAAGAAAAAAAAACAUCAAAAUAUUCGGGUUACAAGCAACAUCACAGGAAAAAAAAAAAAAAAAAAAAAAAAAAAAAAGACACUCUGAUGGAGCAUUUAACGAAAAGAUAAUUGUUGGAUCGAUUAGAUGGGCUCUAAAGUGGUGUAUAAUCUAGCUAUAUCAUGAAAUAGAUUUUUUCUUUUUCUUUUUUUGUUUAUACUAUGUGGCUGUUUGAAUGAGCUCAAAGCAGAUUAAUAAAUUGGGUAAACUUCGAAUACCACCCCUGUAAUUUUGCACUUUCUUAUUUUAGUACUCUAUAGUUUAAAGUAUAUCAAGUUAGUGUCAUAUGGUUUCAUUUUUAUCUUUUCAUUAAUUUUUCCGUUAAUAUUUUGUUAAAUUAUAUACAAAAAAUUUCAGAUACCCCACCUAGAUUUAUCAAAUAUUCAUUUUAGUACCCUUUAGUUUUAACUUUGUCAUUGAUUUAACGAAAAAAUUUAGUGGAAUCGAUAAUAAAAAGAUAAAAAUGAAACCGCAGGACACUAAAUUAAUACACUUUAAACGACAGAGUAUUAAAGUGAGAAAAUGUAAAACUACAGGAGUGGCAUUUGAAGUUUACCCUUAUAAUUUAUUGUAUUGUAUAGUAAAACUAUAAGAUAUCCCAUUGUACUUUUUAUCCGUAUUUCGAGCGCCUAGUUGGGCAUUACGGAGAAUUGAGGCUCUACAUAGAGCUUCCUUCUGGAAGGGAGGGGCAGUAGUCUCGGAAGGCCAGUGCCUCGUCCAGUGGAAGUCUCUUUGUAGGAGUAAGUCGGACGGAGGCUUAGGAAUUAAGGAUCUGAACCUCAUGAAUAUCGCGCUAUUGGCGAAAUGGUGGUGGAGAUUCCUUUCGGACUCGACGCUCCGGGGGGGUCAACUGCUCUGAGCACUUUACUAUUCUCGGAGGAAAGUGUUGAGAGAGGGCUCGACCUUUAGACCUCACUCUCAGUGGUGGCGAGGGGUUCUGCGGACUAAAGAUUUUUUCAAACCGGGGGUGGCCUACUCAAUCGGAGACGGGUGCAGUGUAAAUUUCUGGAGUGACAUUUGGUGCGGCGAAGCCCCUUUAAGUACAGUGUUUUCGUAGAUCUUUACUAACAUUGCCAGUUCGCGUCGCCUCGUGAGUGAGUGUUUUGAUGAGAACGACUGGAAGUGGGAGGUAAUUUUGGCAGAGCCCGCUCCCGUGACGGCUCUGGCGAGAGUCUUCGUACAGGAUAUGCAAAACCUCCUUUCAACUAUCCGACUGACCAACCUGAAGGACAAAGUGUCGUGGCGAUGGGCUCAAUCAGGAUUGUUCUCCGUUAGGUCGCUUUAUACUUUCCUACAGGACGGGGGGGUCAAAGGUAGUGGACUCUCACAGCUGUGGAGUAUUCGAACUUCGCUAAAAGUCAUGAUUUUUGCCUGGCUGGUACUAAAAGGUAAGGUUCUCACGCUGGAUAACCUUUAGAAAAGGGGCUGGGUUGGAGACCAAAAAUGUGUACUCUGCUUAGACGAGGAAGAGAAGAUCAAUCAUCUAUUUGUUACGUGUGAAGUGACUAGAAGUAUUCUGGGGUGUUUGAUGAGCAAUAGGACGAGAAUCAGUACUUGUGCAUCAGCCUAUGCUCUCUGGGAGAAGGGAAGACUCAGUAGCUGCUCUCUUCGGAAGGAGCUUGCAUCAAUGGUAAGUACUUGGUGGGUGACUUGGCUGGAGCGAAAUAGACGUAUAUUCCAAAAGCUAAAACAUUCUCAGCAGCAAAUGGUGAGAGAUGUCCGGAAUAUCCGCAACUUAACUUCCUGAUGCCGACUAUGGGCGGGGUGUCUUUUCGGUGCGCCAGUCUGGUACUAACUAAGGGUGUUCCUACCUUUCGCUUUACACACGGUUUUAUUUCUCUUUUUUCUUUUGUUUACUGUUUCUCUUUUUACUCUUUUUUACUGUUUCCGAGGCCCAGCUGCUUCACAGUGUAGCCUAAUUCAUCCUCUAAAUGAAUGAAGCGAUAGCAUGCUACCUAUUUCUCAAAAAAAAAAAAAAAAAACUAUAGCUUUUGAGCACUCCACUCCAACUGAAAAAAACUUAGGCUCCAUGGUUUAAAUUAGGCAAUAUGCCACUUUCUUUUUUUAUUUCUUUCUCUUUUCUGCUCUUUCUAAGCGAAAUUCAAAAAAGGCAACAAAUCCAUCAGAAAAGAUGACGGUGGCGGCUACGGCAACAGGAAGAAACUGAAAUAUUUAGGAAGAAACUGAGAUAAAAUUUCAGUGGGGAGCUUUCCAGUCACGCUUUAUUAGAGUACUCCCGAUUCAUUAUCACGUGUUAGUUUUAUCUCAAUUCAAUAUUUGUUGGAUGCUUUUUGAAUACUAAAAUCGUAAUAAAAAAUUUUAAACCCCAAAGAGAGUGACACGUGACGGCGAAUUAGAAUUUCUUAACAAGGCUUCUUUGGAGAGCUCCCCCAUGGCGGCACACUCCCACAGUUACAAUAGCUAUAGGAGCCACACAUAUUAUUUGCCUCUCAACAAUGAUCCAUACACAUCAUUCACCGCCCAAUAAUUAUUAAUCGCCACCAAAACAAGCUAACAAAACAAUCCAUAAAGUUGAUAGCUCUCCUUCGACCCUUUGUUUGAUGAAAGAUUUUAAAAUAUGACAGUAACACCGCAUUAUCUAAAAGUUCAUUAUAUUUUUAUAUCGAGGAGAAAAAUUUUGAUUAGUUUGUGAUGCAAUGAUGUGCUGUCAUUGCUAUACAGAUGACCACCUCCUUGUUGACAUUGAUUGUUGGGUAAAAUUCACAUGUGAUUUUGCUUUAGGGCGACGAUUUUUUUUUUCGUUUGGAUUCAAGGAUUAAGACACUUCAAUGAAUUGAUGAUAAGUGUGGAAAGAGUAAUUUGAGCCCUAGUUAGGCUCUAAUUUUCGUAAAGGUAGCUAUCUGGCCCUGCUUUUGGCAUAUCGGUGGUUAUUUGGCAGAUGAUUUGUCUUAGAAAAGAAUAAUAGCACGAGAAUGUGUAUUCGGGAAUAUUGGUAUAGUUUACUACGAAAAGUUUGAGAGUUUCAACUUUGGCCCAUCAAGCUUAAUAAUUGAGUUAAAUUGGGCUGGCUUUGUCCAAUUUGUUACACUUUAAAUUGACUUGUAUAGUUGUGUGUGCGCGCUUGUUUAGUAAAUUUGUGCAUAUCUAUUCAGAUCAAUUGAUAGGAUGAUAAAUUUUAUCAAAAUUACCAAUGAUGGCUGACUCCUGCAUCAAAGUAAAUGAUUAGUAUCGGAUCGUUGGCGCUAACCAUUAAUUCCAAAAGCUCGAACUGUUAGAAAUACGUAAUCAAUUCACUUAAAGCGUACAAAUACAGCACCCACGGAUCUCAAUUGUGACUCGGCUCAUCCGGGCUCACGCCACUUCGAACAUGACUCGGCCUAUUCAGCCUCACGCCAUUUCGAACAUGACUCGGCCCAACCCGGUCUUCCGUCAUAGGGCAGGAUGCUGGACCAUUUAAGUCAACAAUUAGAACUGCCAAGCACGCAAGGAUUUCUUACGCAUCCGAUCUGCAGCGAAUCUGUACUCGUGAUUUUAAGAAUGUGUUGCGAUUGUGAACGGGGUUUAUAACAAGGGCCUGAAGCCCACAAUGCUAGGCUGGGCCGGGUUUAUAACAAAUGGACUAGGCCAACAUUGUGGACUAGGUCCAUGCAAGAAAAUUCUCCUUACCAAGACAUUUUAACUACCCUUCCCUCUUAUCCCUCAAAUUAUUUGUUGUUGCAGCGGCACUUUCAAUACCUUUUGUGACAUCCCGCUUUCCAAAACUACUCUAACCUGAACUCGAGCGUAGCCAAUCAUCCAAAAUAUUAUAAUCGGAUUAAGAGAUUUGGCUCUAGUGUAUUUUAUAUAUAGAACUAUUCAAAAUUCUGAUGUACUGCAUUUUUUUUUUCCAAAGCUCUAUUGUCCUUGUCGGGCUAAAGCACACUCACAAGUAUCAGAUAAUGUUAGACUCGUCUAACUAGAUUUAGCUAAUUUUUGUGGGGAACCGUGCUCUAUCCAUAACGGUCGCCAGCCAGGGAGCCACUAAAUGUUCGUUGUAUGACUCUAACUCAGCCGAGACUUAUAUUACAUUUUUUUUUUACUGGUGAUUGACUCUAAUACCAAAUGUGAGAUCCUGCUUUCCGGAAGAUCAUAAAUCCUGUAACUACUCUAGCUCUAGGCUUACUCAAUCCUCUAAACCUCUUAAUUGGACUGCAGUAUUUUAGACUGUGGUUAGGCUAAACCCGGAGCUGACAUCUUUCUAUUUUUAUAGUAUGUAUUUAAUAUUUUAUUAAUUGCUUUAAUUAAUUAUUUUAUCAAAAAAAUGUUAAGUUAGAUAAAAAUCAAAACUAAAAUGUAAUAUAUAUAUAUGAAAGUUUAGAAACAAAAAAGUUUAGAAAAAAAGUUAAUAGAUAGAAUUAUAACAAAAGAGACUACCAAAACAUUUUAUUCUAUUAUUUUGGUCAAAAUACAUGGAGAACCAUUACAUGCAAGGUAUUCUGAAGUGGACCCCUCAAUUAUAAUUUUACCUCUAUUUUGUUGGGAUAAGUUCUAUAUAUUUUUACCUUUAUUUUGUUUAGAAAAAAUAUACAUUGAGGACCCUCAAAAAUGGGAGAAAUUUUUUUUAUCACAGAUAUUUCAUGUGUGAAUAAUUUUAAUUAAUACAAAAUUUUCAUAUUACACGAAAAUAUGAUAAUAAAAUAUUUUUAAAACAUCAUUUUAUUACAAAAGAACUAUUUUCCUUCGUAUAAGACUUUGUUAUUCAAUAUGGCACAAUUUAAUUAGUUUAAACUAUACCUUAUAUGAUACAAUUUUUAAAACAGUCCAUUAAUGAUUAAUAAGUAAUAGAGUCGCUAAAUUUGAGAAUAUAUUUUUUUAAUUGCACUAAUUAUAAAAUUCCAAAUAAAAAAAAAAAGACUGUGAGGACUCAGAAUAAAAACAUAAAAGUUGAGAGGUCCUUUUCAAAACGUCCCAUUAUUGAGGGUCAUUUGUGCAUUUUCACCUCUUCGUUUUAUUUCAAACACUGUUUUGCUCGCACACUAUAAAUGGAUCAAACAGAGACCCUCGUUCUCCUCUUACCUCUCCGACUCUCCAAAUUCGCGAAGGGCGCGUCGCUCUCCCUCGAUCCCCGAUCCGAGGUACGAAACCCUAAUCCCCAACCCUAGAUCUCCUCCACCGCCGCUCGAAUCCACGGUUUCCCCGCAAUUUUCGCCGUUUUUUCGCCCGAUCUAGCUAUAAUGGAGUCCAAUCACGGCUCUCUUACGCUGCAAUCGCCUCUCUUGUGGGGUUAAUCGUCUCAGAUCUGAUGCUAGAUCAUGGAAUUUUCCACGGAUCGUGGUUUUUUUUUGGUGUUUGAUCGUGGCUUCUCGCGAAAUGGAGCCCACGAUCUCGCGAAUCGGUCCUCGUUUUUGUGAUUUGUUGCUUGUUUGAUGUAUCUUGGCAUGGAAAUUGCGAAAUUGUGUGGUUUUUUUUUUUUUAUGUGAAUGGUGACUCUUCUGGUAGGUCUCUUGGCAAUUGGAGGAAUGCGUGAACGUAGUCUUGUGGUAGUAUAAUUCGGGCCUGAUUUUGUAAUUUUUGGAGGGUUUUUUCCUUGAUUCAUUAGUCCAUUAGUUGGUAGGGGAAAUGGAUGGUGAGAAUAUAAACCCUAUUGAGAUUUGAAUGCUCUGUGUUGUCUAAUUCAUAUAUUGUCGUUCUAUCUCUUAUAUUUGCAUGUCAAUUGCAUUGAAUAUGGGGAGGAACAAAUCAAAGCAUUAUGUUAGAACAUUGAAGAGAAAGUUAUUAUAAGAUGGUUGUUAAGAUCCAGUUUGACGAAUACUAUAGGUGAUGCUUUUAUUAUAUAUGUACAUUGCUGGUAUGCACCAGAAAUGGAUCAAAGUUUUGCUAGUGUAGCUCAAAUUAAUUUGUUUCAAGGGCAUGGAGGACUUUCAAUGCAGUGGCCAUCUGGCUAUUGUUGGCUUAAGAGGGCCAACAUCUUGUCCUGUGACGGAAGGUUGGAUUGGCCCGAAUCACGUUCGAAAUAGCGUGAGGUCGGCUUGGGUUGAGUCAUGUUCAAAGUGGCGUGAGGUUGGUUGGGCCGAGCCACAAUUGAGAUCCGUGAGCGUUCUGUCCGUACGCUUUAAGUGAAUUGGUCGCGUAUUUCUAACAACUCGAGUUUUUGGGAUUAAUAACGCCAACGGUCCGACGGCUAUGACCUGUUAUCAGUGAAAUUCUGUUUUGGUGGCUCUAUUGUUUCUCUAUUGUGCUUAUAUAAUUUUAGAUUUCUAGAUUUUGUGGAGUUACCAUAGAUUGAGGUAUGCAACUGCGAGACAUUUCCCUUUUCUUUGUCAUAAUUUUCUGUUUUAUUGCCAAAGGAUGAUUAGGUAUUAGAGAAUGGAGGUUUGCUGAUAAAUAAUGUUUUUUUUUGGUUUAUAGUUAGGACUUCUUUUUAUUAUCCAUAAAUUACUUUUGGCUAAAACGCAAUUCUAACCUAAUUAGAGUUAGCCCCAAAAUAUCUAUUUCCUUGUAAAAUUUGGGAUUUCUGAUAUUGCACAGCCUAGUCGGGGUUCUUAAACCACAUAAGAUGGGCUGCGGGGUCAGCAGUGUGGAGGCCAGAGUUAUCAACACAAUUCGUUGAUAGUCAUAAUGUCAUUUUUUGUUGUUGAUAGUUUGGACUACUUUUUAUUAUCCAUAAAUCACUUUUGGCUAUAAAACAAUUCUAACCUAAGUAGAGUUAGCCCUAAAAUAUCUAUUUCCUUGUAAAAUCUGGGAUUUCUGAUAUUGCAUAGCCUAGUCAGGUUUCUUAAACUGCAGAAGAUGGGCCGUGGGGUCAGCAGUGGUGGAGGCCAGAGUUCUCUGGGCUACCUUUUUGGGAGCGGCGAGGCUCCCAAACCGGCUGAGAACACUCCGCCUGCCCAGAAGCCGGCCCCAUCCCCACCAGUCGAUAACACCAAGCAGAUCCCUGCCGGCAUCCAAGGAAGGCAAACCAACAAUUACUUCCGUGCUGAUGGCCAGAACACUGGCAACUUCAUUACAGUAAGAAUUCAUUUGCUCAAUUUGUUAGAAUUAGAAAUUUACUUCUGGGAUCAUAAUUCCUUCCUAACUAAUGCUAUUUGAUGUUGUAGAUGCCUAUGGGAACAUAUUCUUCGACAUAUUUCUUAAUACAUCCUUGAAGUUUGAAAAAUGAAAUAUAUAAUAUAUCGUCAAAUUUUGAAAAAUGUAAUAUAUGUUGAUCGUUUAUAUGAGCUAUUAAAAUUUGUAUCUUAUUUCCAUUCGUCCCCUAAUGCUUUCUACUCCCGUCCAUGUAUAUGAGCCUUUGCUCAGGCAAAGGCUUGGUGAUGCGCACUAACUUUUUUGAAUUGCUCUUAUCAUUUAUAUAAUAUGUUUUAUUGUUUCUAAAGAACAACUUUACCCACACAAUCUUUGCUUCAUAUCCUCCUAUUUUAUUUGUGGCUCUAUUUAUUUAUAUAUUCUUAUUUUCAAUCUUGACUGGUAUAUGAAAUUAUUUUACUAUGAGAUUUCGUGCAAUAUCUGUGAAGCUUUAUCUUGAUGCAGAUAUUGAUAUAACGGUAAUUGUGGCUUUUGCUGAGUGGAACUCCAAUUUUCUCUAUUUCUAAUUUACUAGAGUCGGCACUUACCUCCUAUUUUAUUUUUGAACAUGAUCUAUAUAAGCGCCUUCUUUGUGUAGCUUCUGGAACGAUUUCUCUACUUAGAAAAACAUAAGUUUCCUAGAAGCUAGCUUUUUGGCUAAGAAAUGGUCUAGAACCUUUUUCAGUGGGGAGAGAGUGAGGCUAAUUUUAGCUUUUGAACUCUAAUUGCUACAGCAAGAAGAUGCAGAAGAUAUUUGUAUUAAAAAGCUACAGCAUAUCAUCUUAUACGAAUUUUCUUCUUCUCUAGGAUCGACCUUCGACAAAGGUGCAUGCGGCUCCUGGUGGUGGCUCCUCCCUUGGUUACCUUUUCGGCAGUGGCGGUGGCGGUAGUAGCACCGAGAACGGCAAGACAACAAUUAAUGCCGAUUCUCCUCUGUAAGCCGGAGACUUGUAACAAGAUGAAAAACCAGUGCUCGUUUCCCUAUGUUCAGGGAGUACUGAUGUUUCAUUUGCUAAGAAGACUCGUCUAUUGUGUAUUAUACAUCUACAUGUCGGAAGUGCUUCUUUGAAAAAGCCAGUUCGGCUUUACGUGAACGUGUCGAUCUAUGGAACAACAGCUCCUGGGUUAUCAGUUUCCAUAUGUUGUUCUUACAUCAUCUUCUGUUGUUGCAUUGAAAUGUUUUUACCCCUCUCUGUUUGUUGUUUUAAAUUGAAUUGAAUUGAAUCUUAUGGUCCAAGACGCGGCUCGGCUUUGAACUGAAGUUCCUCUGGUUUGUUUGCCUGGUAGGAAGUAGGAAGUGAGUGGUGUAAAAGUUGAAAAUGUUUCAUUUCUUUUAUUUACAUCGAAAAUUCCCAUGCUAGCAUUUAGGAGGGUCUAAAAUAGUUACAGAAACGAAAUUUUCUCGUAAAUGACUUGUUAAUGUUUUGGAAAAGUUUGGUUAUGACUGAAAUUAAUUUACGAUGAACCAAACCUUUAAUAAACUUCACCACUAGCGAGACCAAAGUCAGUUGCAGUGUUUUGAAAGAAAUGAGUUACAACUGAACUUAAUUUAUGGCGAACCAAACAACUAAAGUAAAUAUUUUUUGUGGAAAAAUGCUUUUCUCUUCUCCUAUACUAUUACUGAAAAAAAAAAAAAAAGCUCAUAUGCUUUUAAAAACACCGAAUUAUUGGUGUUUAUAGGUUUACAGUUCUUGGAUUAAAAAAUGUGCGAUUAGAAUGACAGUAAUUUUUUAAGGUUGAAUGGAUAAAAAUAAUUAAAUGGAUAAAUCUAACGGCAGAAAACUCGCAAAUAUUAACUGCUUUAUAUUUUUACAAGCACCAUAGCCGAACUUUAAAGAAAAGAAAAGGCAAGAACAAUUAACCUAAUUAUUAUAUCAAUGACUACUGGCUAAUAACUAAUAGAAUUAUUAAAUUAAUAAAAAUUCUAACCUGGUUAAAUUUAAUAAUUCAAAUAAAGAAAUUAGAAAUUAACAAGGCAAAUGAGCAAAAGUAAAGCUGAGGGAAUUAUUUCAUGAGCUAUUCUCCAUUUAUUAUUAUUAUUAUUAUUUUGAAAUUAAUUUUGUACAUUUUUUUAUUAUUGUAUUAUAUAUAUAUUUUGCAACAGUCCUAUUGCUGAUGUUGUGUUUUCAACCAAUAAAGUAUUUUUUUUUCUUAAAAGAAGAUAUGUGAUUGAUUAGCUACAGAUAAUGCGGUGUAAACAUGGUUAAGUUCCCCCCCUUCUUCAACUCUUCGCAUACCGACCCCGGCCCAAAUUAAUUGUGGGCUCGAAGCCCAAUGAGCCGCUUAUACACCGAAAACCACCGAAUCCUCCUCUUGCACACGACUCACACCCAACCACAAAAACCCCAACCCCUCGACCCAACGCCACAUUCUCUCUUCCUCUCUCUUUCUCUCUCUCUCUCUCUCUCCUCUCUCUUUCGCUCUCCCCAUUUUGAGCUCCGCUUCUCUCUCUCUCACUCUCUCUCUACGCCGCCACCUCCCUCUCUCCUCUUCUAGGGUUCCGAUCGCCGCCGCCGCCGACGAUCGGAAUCCACCUUAUCCUCCGCCGCCGCCGCCGCUUGGAGAACGUGAGCUCUCUCUCUCUCUCUCUCUCUCUCUCUCUCUCUCUAAACUUCAUGACAAUCUUAUAUGUGCCCAAGAUUUGAUCCUGAGUGUAUUAAUCCUCUGUUCCGAUUGCUGAUGAUAGGUUCUUAUGUUAGAGUUGAGGAGGAUCAUUUUUUUUUUUGUUCUUUUUUCCCUGGUGUGUUGGAACGGGAGCUUUAAAACACGGUUUUUGGGGUUUUCUAUGUAAUUUUUGUAGUGAAGGGAGUGGGUUUCUUUAGUUUGAUUUUGUCCCGAGUUUGAUCGAUCUGGUGUGGAUUCUAGGGUUUAAGGUUUAGGGGCUUUUUGCGGGGUAUUAUAUUUUUGGGUGUUUAUGUAAAUCUUAGGUCUCGGUUUUGAAGGUUGAUUAUUAGAGGGUUUAACUGUUCAACUUAUUUGAUUAUACCUUGUGGCUUGGUCGGCCUUUGCUUUAUCGAGGGCGCAAAUUUUGAUUCUAAUUAUCAGGUAAUUGUUUGAUCGGAAGGACUCGAAAUUUGUUUGUAUUUACUUGGAGAAGGACUUUGUUCUUGAAAGAAGUCAUCUUUCCUUAUUUUUGUUUGCACUGUGGUAUAUUUGCAGUAAUUCGCAUUUCAAGUCCUUCUGAUCAAAUUAUUAGAUGGUUUUGUGUGGAUAAUCCUUUCUCUGAGUCUGAGGGCCUUAUCUUUAUAAGUUAGGCUGAUAAUCCUUUAUAGGUCUUAGAUGGUUACGUUUCUGCUUGCAGAGGAACUGUAGAGGUUCUGUUGUUUACUUAGAAGUGUAUGGACCUUAACUAUACUGUAGUGUAUUUUGAAAUGGACAUUUGAACCAAGAAUUUAAGUACCCAUUAGCACGAGUUGUAUCCACCGUGUCAUAUUGUGCCAACAAGAUAUUGAUACGAUACAGUUCCCAUGCAGAUGACACAGCUCAAAGUUCUUUUUUUUUUUAAAUUAAUAAGUAAUUUUCUCAAUAAAGUUCAAAAGAUUAGAUAAAGAUACAUAAUAAGCAAUAAGUAUCUUUUUGCUAAAGAAAAUAAAUAUUUCAUGCCUUUAUGUGUCGGCACAUAUGUAUUUUUUUGUGAUCGACACGCAUUGGCACGGUAUCGAACCAUGCCGGUAAAUUUUCGGCACGACCCCAUGCCACGGCACUUAAAUUCUUAAUAUGAAUCCUAGAAAUUUGGCUUUACUACUUCAUCUUUCAUUACUAUUUAUUUCAGAAAAAUUCCUUCAAGUUAUACUAAAUGGUUUCCAUUAAGGCACAAUAUAAUGUUUAUGUUCUGUCAAAUCAGUAACAGAAAAUUCUACUAGGCAACAAAAUAUCAUAUUAUUAUGUCAAGAGUACUUAAAAUUAAAUAUACUAUGAGGUGAGGUUGUGAAAUUAAAGCCGUACAAGUUCAGGUACCUGUUUCAUAACGAGCUCUGUUCAGCUUAGGGUUUUAUACUUUUACCUACUGUUUAUACAUCAGUCGUGUUUAUUUGGGGAUAAGGUAAUCAUUUUAUUCCGUAAUAGAUCACUUGAUGGAAACUCUGUGCUGCUAAAUCUAUUGCAGAAAUGGCGCUGCAAGCUGCAACUUCUGUUCCUCAACCUCCUCCACAAGUGGUAUCAAUCUUUUUUUUUUUGGCUUCCAUUUUUAAGUUUGCCUUUCCUAAUUCGCAGCAUUAUUUUUUUUUCCCUUCAGAUUGGCAGCGCCUUUGUUCAGCAGUACUACCACAUUCUUCAUCAAUCACCAGAAUCAGUGUACAAGUUUUACCAGGACACAAGCAUGCUAAGCCGGUCAGAUGCUGAUGGAGUGAUGACAUCAGUAACUACAAUGCAGGUAUUUCCCUGCUUUUCUGUACAGACUAUGUUUUACCUUGUCAUCUUUUUUAUCAAUCUUCUAAUGCUUGGUAAUAAUGUAUGUGCCUGAAAAAGAUCUUUUUUCAUGUUGGCAUCAAUGGAAUAUUCUGUAUUUUGGUAUUCUAGGAGAUGCUGUUUGCUAUUAUGUUUUUUUCCCCCCUUUGCUUCCAAGUUUGAUUCACAAUUAUGAUUUUUUUUCCUCCCUUUGGUUAUAAGUGUGCAAUGAAUUGAUUUUAUUGUAUGCUGCAAGCCUCCAAGGAUAGGCACAAAAUUAUCAAGUGAAUGCAGUGAAAAUUAAGAGAGAAAGGUUCUUUGUGAUUCUCAUUGCUGUGAUGUAGUACAUUCUUGGAAAUGUAUAGACAUGGAGAAUUAGAAGGAAAGCAAAAUAGAUUGGCAAAAAAAGAGUGGAAAUAGGUACAUAACCUACCGCUAAGAAAGAAACUUUUCAUGUUACAGUACACCAUAUACAGGGACUACUUGUGGAGUACAUGGUUACUAUAUUUUUUUAUAUGCAGUUUUCUUCUCACAUUCAAACAUUUCUAAAUAAGAACUGUUGGUAUCAGUUAUAAAUAUAAUUUAACCAAGGAUUUGAGUGCUGUGGCACUAGGCUGUGCAAAAAACUUGAUGGCACGGUACGGCACGGUGUGUACCAUGCCGUGCCAAUGCCUGCUGGUCACAAAAGAACCUGUGCCCCGAUACACAAUGCCGUGAAUUGUUUUUCUUCUUGGCACCAAUAUGUUCUAAUCACUUACUGCAUAUCUUUGUCAACUCUUUUAAACUUUAUUGAGAUAACUACGUACUAAUUUCAAAGCAGAGAGGAUUUUGAGCGGUGCUAUCGGCAUGGGGGCCGUAUUCUGCUGAUAUCUUGUCGGCAUGGUGGUCAUGGCCUGUAUUGAUGGGCAUUUAAAUUCUUUAAUUUAAGUAAAUGAAACUCCCAUCGAGUACUAUUCUUUUUCAAAAGACGUUAAAUCAACCCUACUUGGUUGAAAUUUGUUGCAGUAUAAUAAGAAAUCUCGCAACAACCUUUUCCUUGAUAUCAGGUAAAGAUACAUCUUUGAUAAAAUUGAUUUGCAUUAAGUGCUAUUCUUCUCAAAGAUAAUAAAUCAAACCUUCUAGAUGAAAUAUUAUCUGUAUAGGCUUCAACUGCUGCCAGAAAAUAUGGUGACAAGUUCCCCAAAAUCCGAAAAAAUAUAUAUUUUAAAAAUUAGUUUCUUAAAUAAGCUUCAAGUUUCAUAUUUUAGAAAAAUUACAAUGAGGCUCAUUUAGAUCAGGUUCUUUCCUUUUCAGUCCUUCCCUUUUGAUAUUGCUAUAGAAAUUGUGACUUACAUGAUAGUCUCUCAACUUAUCCUCUGUUCUGUAUUGUAGUCAUAGAUUUUUUUUUAAAAUAUAUAUAUAUAUAUAUAUAUAUAUAUAUAUAUAUAUAGGUUUGCAUAUAAAUCUUUUGUUUUGCUCCUUUUAGGUUGAGUUCUUCUUCCCCAGAUAUUCCCCUUACCAUUCAUAAUCUACUUUUCCACCACCAAAUUCUCCCACAUCUACUCCCUUCCCCACUCUAAUAUGAUUUACAUCAUUCUCUUGGCUCGAGUUAACCACCUAUUAUAUAUUUCCUCGACAUUGAAUGGACAGUAUUGGCUGCUGGAAUUUUAUUUGACUGAUAUCCCUGUGUUGUGGAUUUCAUUUUGUUGACUACCAAAAGUGAUUACUGGAUUUGCAUAUUGAUAUUUUCUAGGCUUAUUUGGUUGUGCAGGCCAUCAACGAAAAGAUAUUGUCCUUGGACUUCCACAACUGUUUUACAGAGAUAGAGACUGCAGACUCUCAGUUGUCUUACAUGAAUGGAGUCUUCAUUGUCGUAACUGGAACCUUGAUUGGGACUGACAAUGUUAAGCGGAAGUUUACCCAAUCAUUUUUUCUCGCCCCGCAGCAAACCGGAGGAUACUUUGUCCUCAAUGAUGUGUUCAGAUUUAUAAAGGCAGACUAUCUGGGGGGAAUUAAUCAACUGGUUGUCAAUGAGUCGGAGAACAAUGGCGCAGAUGGUGCUUUAACUCCGGAGCCAGGUACAAUCAUUACUGACUUACUCUUUCUUUUACCCCUUGUUUAGAUGGAGAGAAUGGGAGUGAAUGAAGAGAAACCUAGAAGAGAAAUUUUUUUUAUUUUCUCUCACUUGGUGAAAAUGAGAGAAUGAGAGGGAAAAGUGUUUGUUUGAAAACUCACUGUUGGUUUGGUUUGCUUUUGCUGGUUGUUCUUUGGUUUUCUUGCACACUCCCACAAGAAAUAGCUCAUGUCAAAUUCAAACUUUAUAUUAUUCUGUGUCUGUUGACAGAACCCACUCCAGCUACGGAACAUGAUAUUGAAGUCAACCCAGUAUCAAAGGGGAUUGCUGACUUGGGCGACGAAGUAGUCAACCCAUCUGAGGACAGUGAUUUUUCGGGGGUUGAAAAUGGAAAUGAUGUUGAUCCACCUGUCCAGGUAACUCCAGGUGAUGCUCAAGAAGCUUCGCAGGCUGCUGCUACUGUGUCUCAGGAGAAUGUGCCUAAGAAGUCUUAUGCAUCAAUAGUGAGUUGUUAUUCUUGUCAUUUUCCUUUUAUCUAUGUCACAUAAUUAGUAAGCCCUGCGCACCCCUUCCCCACUCCCCCCACCCCAAAAAAAAAGGCUUAGUUUCUGCUUUCAGCUGCAGCCUCCUAUAGUGGAGUGUUUUGCAAGCAUAACACAAAAGCUUUUGCUAUUAUGGAAAGUUGACAUUAGAUUUCUAGCCCCCCAAAAUUGGGGCUCCAAUUUAGAGCUACUGAUAAUGCUCCAGGGAGAAAUUGUGGGCGGGGAUUUUACCGUAGUGCUUCUCGGAGUAGCACUAUUCAAAUAUCACUUAAUCAGAUAGGCCCUGCUCUUCUUUAUGAGCCAAUCACAAAUACGCAAUACCAGAGGGUUAUAUAUGUGUGAAUACUUGUAUUCUGAGGGUGUAUAUGCAGAAGUAAUAAAUGAUGAUCAUUAUUCUUUAUUUGUUAGAUUUCUCUGCUUUAACCGCUACAAACAAUUGUGGACCUAGUAAAGCACACAUUUAUUAGUUAUUUCUGUUAUCAAUGGAUUGGCAGGUUAAAGUGAUGAAGGGGAGCCCAUCACCAGCUCCAAUAUAUGUGCCUGUUACCAAACCAAAUACUCUGGGUCCAAACCCUGAGAAACCGCGGGUUGUGCCAACAACACCCGCUAAUGCGCCAGAGACCACGGUUCCUAACGACAAUAGUGCCCCUGAAAACAACGAAUCUCAUGAUGGUAUGUCCAGCACUAGCAUGCCUAGCAUUGGUGGCUCUUUUGCAUGCAUACCCCUGCAAACAUGUGAAAUUGCAUAACUGGUCCUGCAUAUAUAGAUAGGGAUAUGCGUGUGUGCCCCUGAAAAUCAUAUUUAUCUGCAUUCGCUCACCUGCUGGGUGAAUACAUACCAAACCAUUUUUUACAUUGCAUCCGAAUAAAGAAGAUUUAUUUCUUCUGGUAGAUGCACAAAUUCCAAUUUUACUGGGGUACUAAUGUGAUUUUGCAUGGAUUUAUAUGCAAAAAAAAUUCAGAGGUUUGGCUAUGAUGUCCUGUGGUUUCCUGACUUCUACCUAUAUGCAGUUGAGGGUUAUUCGGUAUAUAUCCGAAAUUUGCCUUUGAAUGCAACUGCUGAACAAGUCGAGGAAGAGUUCAAGAAAUUUGGAACUAUUAAACCUGGCGGCGUGCAAGUUAGAAACCAUAAGGUUUGUCAGAUGGACCUUGAGACAUAGCUUGUUGUCUAUUUUAACUGAAGCUUUACUUGUAUUACUGACUGGAUGGCAGAUUGAACGCUUCUGUUUUGGCUUUGUGGAAUUUGAGUCGUUGAAAUCCAUGCAAGAUGCAAUUGAGGUAUGGUUCUUGAACUUGGUCCGUCACUUUUAAGGUUACCUGCUUUCAAACGAUUUUUAUUUUCAAUAUCUUUUGGAGGAAUAGUUGUAUUUAUAUAAAAACCAUUGCAUCCUGUUCUUUACAGUGGGACAUUUAUUAUUUUCAGCAGCUUAAGUUCUACACUCAAAUGUUUUUGUUCUGGUGGGGUACUUUUUUUUUGGUUUUGAGCUGGGAGCAACAAUUUCGGCUUUAAGUUAGAGCGCUCGAGUUAGUGUAAUAUUAUUAAUAUAUUCUCUACUUCAUGGUGGUACCUCUAGUAUCAUCAACAGAGCAUCUGCACCUUGUUCCAUUCAUCUCUGAUGCUACAUUAUAUAUUAUUAUUUUUUUUUUCAGUCACUAAUUUUAAACCUGUAGCAAUUUUGUUUGGUUGACAUUAUCUCGCGACAUAAUAUCUUCAUAAUUUUUCCUUUAUUCAUUUUAACCGUUAAGUUUUUUUAAUUCUAAUAAAAAUCACUUUUUCAUUUUAUGUUUUGAACCUUCAAAAUUUGAGCCUGGAAAUGUUAGUCCAAAGCUGUGAGAGACUGCUGGCUGUUUACAAUCCGAAUUUACUCUUUGUUGCUUUUCACUCUGCUUAUGUUAACAAAAUAUAAGGCAUCUGAUCAGUCUCAUACAUUAUCUCUUUUUUUAGUUUAGUUUACAAGUUGUUGCAGUUUUGUAUAUGAAGGGUCUAUUUGGCUGGUUAUUUAUCAUCUAGAUUUUUUUAAAAAAAGUUUUUAAUGAAUUCUUAGGCCUCACCAGUUCUAUUUGGAGGGCGCCAAGUUUAUGUUGAGGAGAAGAAAACCACAACGCGAGGUAAGUAUUGAUUUCGGUGCUGCAAAAUAUGAAAUUUCAUAGACUACAACCAUAUAAAAAAUCGGAUCUUAUGGCGGUACACAAAAAUAGAUGAAUUUGCGAGGAUACUUGCGUAAAGCGUCCCAAAAAUUAAUUUUGUGGGCUAGAAUCAUGUAAUACAGUCACCUACCUCGGACUAAUGAAUCCAUUUUCUUUCUCAUUCCUUGCGUGUAAAUAAAAACACUGAGCAUACUGAAAAAUUUGUUUUAACUUUGUUAUUUGGUUAACUUUUCUUUUCACAAGGAUUGAAUGCUGAUGCUGAUGCUGAUGCUGAUGCCUUUUGUUCUCCCAGUUGUUAAUGGUGUCGUGACCCAUAGCGGCAACAGUAGCGGGAGGGGUCGCUACCCAGCGGGGCGGGGCGGUUUCCGUAACGACAGCUACAGGGGAGGCCGCGGGGCCUCCGUUGGGAACGGCAACGGGGGAAACUACAAGAGGGGCGAGUUCCGGAACAGGGGAGCCGACUAUGUGGGCCGCGGUGGCUGGUCAAAUCCUGCGCGUGCCGCCGCCGCCGUCGACGGUUAUCAGCAGCGCGCUUUCCAAAACGGGAAUGGGCGGUUUGGGAACCGGCUAAACGGGCCGAGGCAAGCCACAGUCUCUGCCUAGGAGAGGAACAUAGCACGACACGGUAAUUUUGUCAGGGUAGAACCCCUCUAAUGCAUGAUUCUUUUACGCCCCACCUUUUUGAUGAAUCAGAGGGCUCCGCUGCCCCUUUUUCUCUUUUUUGUCCUCUCCCUAUCCCUAAGUAGAGAUCCUCCUAAAUAGAGAUGUGAUUCUUAACUAAAAAAGAACCUUAAUAGUGCCGAGAGAAUUAAUGUUUUUUGAGCCUGGGUUGUUGCAACUGUGGUAACAACUAACAUUCCAUAUUUGCAGAAUAGGGAACCUAUCCUUUUUUUGUUGUUGCUAUCAAGUUUCUAGCGUCUUUUAGAAAAUGAACUUUGAUUUUGGGAUUUAAAUGUUAUAUAUAUAUAUAUAUAUAUAUAUAUAUAUAUAUAUAUAUAUAUAUAUACCCCCCCCACCCUGUUUGUUAUUCUAUCUGAUUGAACCUUGGAGAUUGGGACUUUCUCUUUCCGUGAUAUGGUCAUCUUAUACAGUUNAGUUAAUUGAUGAAGUAUGUAUUUUUCUAAUUUGAUUCAAGUGCUGAGUGUGGGUUCUUGCGCAUCCCAAUGAAAAUAUAGACCCCCCUAAAAUGAAUUUGCUGUCUCUAUAAUUCCAAGUGGGAUUUUACUUCAUUCAACAAAAGCUUAGUAUUGCAGAGGUUAUUUGUCUUUUAUUUUUAGAGAAAAAGUAAAAUAAGAUGGUUGUAGGUAGCAGGCAUUACCUUUUACUGUGUGAUGUGAGAUUUAAUCAGGAUUUAUGUUUUUAAUUGUUAUAAAUAUAAAUAGUGGUGGUAUAUUUGGCUAAAAUUACAUAAUAUAUUUUUUUGGUGUUGCAACUGCAGUAAGCUUUUGACCCAUUUUUUUUCUUCACUUAUUUUAUUUUAUUUUUUUUCCAAAUACUUAAGUACUUAAGCCUCCUUUACGUCUUGCUGAAGAGACAAUUAAGAAUUUGUAAGCACUCACUGCGAAAAGUAUAUUGCAUGGCACAAUUUACUUAACAUCACAAAAUUACAUCUAACAGAGAUCAUACUGCAAAAGCUCCAUCAAAACAUGAAGAACCAAAGUUACAAUUACUUAAUGUUCCCUUCCAAAUUAUUUUUCUUAAAAUACGACAACAAUUCCAGAACAAAAGUCAGAAAUAACAGCUACAAGGUUAAUUAAAUUAUGUACAGAUAUGUGAAAAAUACCACAAGCCAUCUUAAUAUCAUUCUUUCCGAUGAAAAAGAAUAAUCUUAAAAAAUAAAAUUCCGUGCAAGGCUUCAUGCAUUGAGAUGCAAUUUUUUUCCAAAGAUUCCAGUUUUAUGUUAAAGAUUUUACUAGUUCCUUGAAAUCAAAGAGCAGCCAAUCCGCCUUUGCUGCGACAGCUUCUCGCAUUUGUACCCCAGCAUAGCAUAUAAACAGGUCAGCUCCACCAGGUUUCCGAGCCUGCAAAUAGGAACACAAGAAAAUUUCGAAAGCUCUAAAUUCAACUUUCAAAUUUUUCAAAAUGAUCUAGAAGACACGAAAAUUUGACAAAAUGGGUUAUUUUGAUUGAUGGGAGGAAACAAAAAAAAAAAGGAAGAAGACAUCAACAUAAAAAGCAAUUAGUUGUGCCCUUCAUCCUAUCUGAUACUUUCAGUCAACCAACCACUGCCCAGUGAGUUGCAGCCUUAUCUUCAUUUUGAUUUUUAAAAAUCAAUUUUGUUUUAAAGAUGAUUGGAUUCGAACGGAAGUGGAGCACGUGCAGAAAAUAGAAGCAUAACAUGUAAUAUGAUGUGCUAUGAACGGAAAAUAUAUUGAGGCAUGUUUGAUAGGAUAACUAAGUUAACCAGUCAUAAAUCGGCCCAUGGAGCUCAAAGCAAUGAUCAGAAUGAUUAUUUAUUCAAAAGGUGUAAUAAAAAAUAUAUAUAUACAUAUUAAAGGUGCUUCUGGAGAAAGCUCCUUCUCUUUCAACUUUAGAAGACUUACGAGCAUAUAAGAACAUUAAUGAACAAUGUAUAUCUGUAUCUUGUUUACUCAAUAAACUGAGGCACAAAGGACAACUAAAACUUAAAAACAUUAGAAAACAAUACUUAUAGAUACACCACAGCAAGUUCAUGUAAUUCCAUUUAUGCCCUGCUACAUAUGAAUUUUCAUGUAUGCUCUCAAAAACUUUUAAGAUCUAUAGAUUCUAUACACUUCGACUAGUGAAACCUCUUUGAAAACUUGUUCCACUUUAAAAAUGCAGAUAUUUUUGUAUGGAACAACAAUUUUAACCGUUUAGGGUAUAGUUAUGUAAAUUACAGGGAGUAUAAAUGUAAAAGAACCAAAGAAAAAGAAUUACCUCAAGAUCAGUUGCACCAUCUCCAAUCAUAACUAGUGUUUUAUAAUCAUGGACCUGAAAGUAAUAAAUAACAAUCAGCACCCAAGUGCAAAUAUAAAACUUCAUGCUCAAAGAUGGGUCCAAACCUUUCUUAUUUGUUGUACUGCUGUCGCUUUUCCGCCACUUCGCGAAGUAGGCUCCGUGGUAUCAAACCCAAGAAAUUCUCCAGAGCUUCCGAAGAGUAGUUGAUUUGCAAAGAUGUUUUCAAGGGGAAUACCUAGCUCCAAAGCAACAGGCUAGAAAAGAAAAAAAACAAAACAAAAAAGUACAAAGAAAUAUUAUAGUUCUUACGGGUAUUAUAAUAUACAUGACAUAAUGCGCCACAAGAAAGAAAAUAUUAAACAAAGACAACAUAUAAAAUUAAGGAGCAGACCUUGAUCAUCUGGCGAAAACCUCCAGAUACAAGGUAAACAUCAGUCUUAUUAGCCUUCAACUUUUCUAUCAAUUCAGAAAUGCCUGGAGAAAUCCUGCAGAUCAAGUGGCCACAUAGUAACAUGGUGAUUACUAGACAAAUGGCAUAAUAUGUUUAUUAAUGCAUAUUGCACUUACCACAAGUUCAAAGAAAGUGUUCAUGUGAAAACCAGAACAACUUUUGUGAAAAUUUAGCCAUCAAAAUUUGGAAUACAGGAUAUCUAUUGCCGACAAAGCAUGUUAAGACUUAUUUUAUGACUCGUUUGUACUUUUCAGCACUUUUUCUGCAAAUUUGAAAGGUUCAGUCAGAAGGCCAAAUUCUUAGUAAGAAAUGGGCAUAAAAGUAGAUGUAGUUUGACUUUAAGAACAAAUUGCGGUGGUUAAUGCACAAAUCUAGUGAUUCCUACCAUUCAACAUCCAGCUAAGAUGAACAUUGACAAGCUCAGAUAAUGGCUUCCAUCAGUUAUUCAAAAUUAGAAGAAAAAGGAAAAUGCAGAAUGAGGUUGCUAUCGCUUAGAAAAUCAAUACUGUAGCACAUGAAGAUAAUGGAGGUGUUUGAAGAUAACGGUUUUCUAAAUUCUAGAAUGUUCUGAUAGAAUGAGGAUGUAAAGUAUCAACAUUGACAAACAGAAUGUUCAGACUCUAGAACUCGAUGCACACAUACACCCAAAAAAACAUACUUCUUAAUUACCAAGCAUGAUAGAAGAAAUUUUCAAUUUUAAAUUCCAGUUGAAAACUUUAGAUAAGUUUUCUUCCGGAACACACCAUUUUAAAAAUCAAAUAAUGUUCAGUCCAGAAUGGCGAAAAUAACUGAAAUACCUCGGUGGUCUCUUGACCAAAAAAUCUUCAACUUGAGAGAGCGAUGGAUUGAAUAAAGAAAGCCUCGCUGCAAGAGCCUCCUCAAAAGGGACAGAACCACUCAUUGCCCUAAAAUUUCAUCAGAAGUGAUAAUUCAGGAGUCAACUUCUACAUUUAAAGAAAUUCUAUACUAGAAUAAAGCUUCUCAACCUUUUCAGCACAGAUUCAGUUUGGUCCCCAAUCUUUCACUUGUUAAUACCCUAACCUGUGUAAUGUUCCAAUCUUACCCUUUCACUUUACCCUAACUAUCUAAUUGUUAACACCCUUGCUGUGCCUGUUAUUCAAAUCUUACCCUUCCGUUAAGUUCCUCCAUUAAAAUAGAUGUAAUUGACUUUUCAACUUCUCAUAUGGUGUUUACCUCAGCGUAUCCAACUUAACAGAGAAAUCUAAUGAAAAGGUUAAGAUUGCAACGAAAUGCAACUGAAAGUCAGGGACCAAUCUGAAAACUCUUAAAAGGGAUGGCAGCACAUAAGUGUUCUCGGACUCGCAAAAUUAAACACACUUAUUUCAUUUUACAUAGUAAAAAAACAAGUUCUUACUUAUUAGUCCAUUCUGCAACAGCUUUCCCAGCCCCACAGAAAUCUGCUAGUUCAUCAAUUCCCUCAUCUAAGCACACGGUGCUGUCCACAUCAAAACACACCGCGUCAGCACUGCGCCAGAUCUCAAGAAUCUCUGCAUACAAACACACUAGAUGUUUGAAUAAUUCAAUCUACAGAUAUUACAUAUCUAUCGUUGCUAAAUCAUCCAUUCACAUUCUUUUUUCCUUGCAAAAUCAGCAUUGUCAUAUAUGCUCUCAAACCCCUCUAGUUACAAGAAUGCCCCACUUUCGAAUAACUUUUCCAAGAGAAACCCACCUUCUCUCAUGAAUCUGGUGACUCCUCAACUUAUGAUAAGGGUAUGUAUACAUUUUACUAAUGGCCGGCUAGAAGGCAUCCCCGACACCUGCUUUCAAAGAUGUGUCCAACCCACACAACGCCCUUUCUCGCUUCUCGCAUACCAGACCAACCUCCCUUCCCAGGAGAAAUUAUUAUCUGCACCUGGAGUACGCAUACAUCUCACACACCAUACUCAUACACUGCAUUUAAUUUUUAAAUAUAUAAACCUCAAUUUGACCCUCUAUAAUUUAUCUCGUUUUCACUUUGCCACCCCGUGGUUCAAAAAAUUGCACUUAAUUUUUAUGUGGUUGUAACCUUAUUUUAACCAAAAAAAUUUACCAUCGCAUUGAAUAACAAAGUGAAAUUUUUUUAAUAACCACCGAGUAGUUAAGUGUAACUUUUGAACCACAGGGUGGCAAAGUGAAAAGGAGCCACGCCCCUUAAUUAUAUAUAUUUUAUAUUAAGAUCCUUUUAUUUGUCUGAAUCAAAUAAUUUUAACCAGAUAGAUUGAAAAAUUUACCAAUGAUAUAGAAAAUUGUAACUAAUGAAGCAGAUGAUUAAGCAAUUAAAUGGGUUGAACAACAAAGGAAGACAUGAUGAAAUGUACAGAUGCAUCAAGUGCAGGCAAUAGUUUCUUAAAGCUAUAAAAUAACUCAAAUCUAAUAGCUUAAAAUGUUAAACAGUAAAUUAAAAUUUUAAAAUAUUAAAUGAUCAUUUUCAAAUUGCCCAAAGUUUAUAUUAGUUUUAUGAAUUUUUAUCGAUAUUAAAGGCUUUUAUAGAUAACUUUCAAUACACUUCCAAAUUAUGAUUGGCGAAUAAAUAUUUAUCAAAAUUUAAAAAUAAUAUUACUAUUUGUUCAAGAUUCAGCAGUAACUAUGACUCCGCUGCAAAGCGCAGGCCCUUCAGUAGUUUUUCAAGAAACUGCUUUUCGACGGGUAUACAAACAAACUCAGAUAUUACAAGCGAGUAAUUUAAAAUGGAUGAUUUUGCAAGGAUGUCUAAUUUUAAAGCUAAUUAAAACCAUUCCUACAGAAAAAUAAAAAAUUCUUGGAAAUAACCUUUCGUAGGUAAAGUGUUGGCGAACUGCAUGGAAGUGGUACCCUUUGAGACCUCCAAUGAAGCUGCUACAACAAAGAGAGGCUUGGAAGGUUUCAUAGUACUGAAUGAAUGCGUAAGCAAUCUCACAGGUAGAUGAGAAGCAAGUGAUGUUUGAAGAAUAGAACGACGGGAGCAACGGGAUGGACGAACUGGAUUGAUCCGAACAUUAACCAGCCCAGCCAUAAAUCUAUAAUUAAUCAUCAAAAGAGAGCAUAUGAUCAUGGAAUCUUAUAGAUGGAAAUUUGUAAAAUGAGAAGGAAAUUGAAAGUGGGGACAGAAGUAUAAGUGCACACAUAUGCCAAAGAAAAUAUUAGAAGAUACUCUUUCUUUUUCGGAGUUCAAUUCGAAUUGUGAAUGUACAUUCUAUAAAUCUUACAUAAUUUAUGAACUCGCAUACCAAAGAUUAAUGAAAAUGAAAUUUCUUUUGAUUCGAGUAUAAAUAAUAGCUGAUCUGACCCUGGCAUUGCAAAGAAUCAUGUGUUCAUUUCAUUCUUUCAGCUACAUAUUCCACAAAAUAAGUAGCCAUGGUUUGUCAAUUACCAACAUCGACAAAUUUCAAUUACAAAGUUAAGAUUGAUUUCAAGAAAUUUGCAACAAGUUAUCAUACAUUGUGCUUAUAAUAUGUUCAAGACGAGUAUGAGGCAUCUCUUGCACCUUUCAUAACAGCAAGUUACAUAGAACAAAUUAAACUCUUUAAAACAAUUCCUAACUUGAAAAAAAAAAUCCAUGGAUUUUAUUUCGUUUCGUCAAAUAAUUCUGCAACUCUAUUUCAGUAUAACUCAAAAUCGUCGGUUGCUUUCUUCCUAUUGUUUGUCAAAUCAGCACUGAACCAACUAAAUCAGAAUCUACAGGAGCAAAAUUUAUACAUAUUCCCUGUAUAAUCCGGAUGUUCCUACCUAGUUCUCGUACUUUCAUUCAAAACAAUUUUGUUUCUAGUGUGUAUAUAUAUAUAAUAAUAUACUAUAUAUAUAUAUUUUAUAUAUUAUAUAUAUAUAUAUAGAAUUGAGCCCUAUGCUUUAAAAGUACCAAGUCUUUGGUGCUUGUAAGUUUUCGGCGUACCUUGGAUUAAAGGGAUGUCGGUUAGCAUGAUGUGGGCCUUCUAGGUUGAUGCUGGUGGUGUUGCAAUAGUUAAUACUGUCUAACGGGUGAAGAAUGAUUCAGCAUGCGUAGAUCUAAUGGAUAGAAAAUUACAAGCCAAUGCUUGGUGCUAUUUAGCUAGCAACCUUAGCCGGACUCUAAUAUAUAUAUAUAUAUAAUAUUAUAUAUAUAUAGUUGACUGGGCUACUAUCGGUAGUCAAUGCUGGUACUCACCAAUUUAUUUUGAGAUGAGCUUCCAAAUUGAUGAUCCACAGUUGACCAUGAGUCUAGACCAUUUUAAAUGUAUCUUAGAAUUUCAUUCGUAGAUUUUGGUAUCCUAAGCUGAACGAUCAAAGGGUCACAAUAAUCUAAUAAUUUUAAUGCCGAUAUGGCGGUUUAACUAUAGAAGAGUUCAAAUUCAUAAAAUUGUUUGUGUAAAGAUUGUUGUGAACUAUUUAAGAUGAAGAGGAGUGACGGUGAAAUCCUCAAUAUAUAAAAAUUGUAUCAUCACUUUUGGAAGGAUAUCGAUUCCAUGCCAUUCAUUUUUGUGUUCACUGUAUGUUAGCAAAGAACCAAUAUCGCAAAAUGUGUUGAAAUUUGAUUUCCAGAUGUUUAAAAGUUAGAUCAUGUAACUUGUCUAUCAUCAAUUUGUCCUAUUCAUCAUAAACAAAUCUAAUAUAUCGAUCUGUUACUACUAAUUCUAGCAAAAUAUUAUAUUAUUUUAAUAUAUAUAUUAUAUAUAAUUAAUGUAAGAUAUAUUUUAAUAUAUAUAGAAUGAGCUUCGCGUAUGGUUAUUAAGUACAAAUAUAGGGUUGUGAUUUUUAGCCAUUGGUAUUAAAAUUAUAAAUAUCAUAGAUUAUGGUGGCCCCCUAGAGUUGAGGUGUGUUUGGUGUAUAUAGUAUAAUCUAUAUGGGUUAAAAAUAAUCGGAUGAGUAUAUAAUCUGUGAAUUAAACACAAGCACUAGUCUGCUUUACAAGCACCAACUGGAUUCAUAUAUAUAAAUGAAGUGGAUAUAUAUAUAUAUAUAAUAUAGAUAUGUGGAUCUAACACUACAUUAAUACACAUACACACACACAUAUAUACAUAUAUAUGUGUGUAUAUACACACACGAGCUAGGCUGGUAUACUAUCGGUAGCACGGAAGCCUCUAUGCUGCCAAGUUGUUUUCAAUGAUGUCGCUUCCAAAUCGACAAUCGGCUCCGUUAAACUUGAUCUACACUAUUAAAAGUAUUUGGAAACUAAAUUUCACAAUUUUCCACAAUUCUUGGAAUAAAGUGAAAUAUACAAGAGAAAAAAAAAAACACAGAGAAGAUAAAAGUUUUAAUAGCAAAACAUGAAAAGAUAAUAAUUUUAAUCAUAAUUCCAAUAUAAAAAGAAAAAUGAAAAAGAAGAAGAACUAAGAAAAUCACAGAUGUAAGGUUUUUUUCGUUGAAGCAAAAGAUCGAACACCUUAAGAGCGUCUCCUUUGCAAUCGUAAACAAAACCAUUCAAAUCACUAGGCACGAUUCAUUAGUGACAAUAGGUACAUGCGACAUUCUAAAAUCAUUCGAAAACACUCCCGCUAAUCACAAAUUCACGGUAAAAAUAUGCACAAAAAAAAAAUGAAAAAAACGGUGCAAAAACGGAAUUAGAAAAGCGUUUUUGAGCGAUGAGUAGAUAGAAAAAAAUUAAAAGAAAUUGAAAGAUCCCAAAUUGCAAACCCUAACCUCUCUUUUCGAUCUCUCCGCGCCGAGAAAUGCGAUCCGAGAUCCCCACGAAAUGUAAGGGGAAGAGAGAGUGUGUGUUCGUGGGGCGUGAAUAUUAACGCUUCGCACAAUAUCCGACCGGUCCAGUUCGGUCCGGUUUGGUUCGGUCGGUUUGGUUCGUUUCGUGUUUUUGGGGGUAAAUUGCACAUUGGGUCCUCAAACUAUGACCGUGUUGACACUUUACUCCUCAAACUUUAAGUUGUUGUAAUAUUGGCCUCUAACUUUUACAAUUAUCGCAAUCAAAUCUAAUUCAAUUGACUAAAUAUUGAUAUACCGCUAAUGUAGAGGUGAUAUAGCAAUAUUGUAAUUGAUGAUUGCAUCAAUGAUGUGUUAAAAUUUAGUCAACUAAAUUAAAUUGUGGGACUUAAUUAUAAAAAUUUAAAAAAUUCAAGCUAAAUAUUAAAAUAAAUUAGAGUUUAAAAGUGUCACAAGCCAAACGGGUAAUUACCCCUUUUUUUCCUUUUUCUUGUGCCAAAGAUGUAUAAAGACCCAUUAACUAUAGGCUCUUCUGAAAUAGCCCUCUCCACUCUUUUUUUUUUUUUUUUUGAGUGAUUGAGAGUAGGGGCAAAAAUUUAUACUCAAAAUCUAGACGAUAAAUAUUUAUCCAAUUUGAAAAAUCUAUUAAUUACAAUAAAAAUUAUGGAGUCAGUGUAAAUCAAUGUUUGCCAUAUUAAUGCCAUGCCAGGAACGAAAACCUUGCCAAACCUUACCGCAUGACAAUUUUUGUUAAAAUUAGCAAAAUUUCUAAUGAUAGUAACUUAAUUGAAACAUGUAUUAAAAGUAAGGGACCUCAUUGCAUGGAGAAAAAAGUUGGGGACCAAUAGUGCAAUUAACCUUUGGAGAGUAUUAGGGUAGGUUUGUGAUGUGGAUAUUAUGGUAGGUAUGGAAAAGCAAUCUCCCAAGUAACACUAAUUAUUAUUCUCUCCACCUAACUUUUGUGCACUUUGACAUAUUUGAGAGUCACUGCUUUACUUACCCAAAAUAUUUCCUACGAUUUUAAUAUCAAGAAAGGUAAAAGUAAAAAAGAAAAAAAAAUGCAAUGUAUAUGCAGAGAUUUUUUGAAAUUUGGCUUCCAAAUUCAUAAUUUUGAUCCAAAUUAAAUGAGUUCAGUAGAGCUAAUGGACGCACUAACAAACCAUUACGACAGUCAAUUCAGCUUGAUGUUAGUGAGCCAGCUUAUAUUCGGCUCGAAAUGAGCUUGAGAUUGACCGCUCGUUUAAUAAACUAGUUAAACAUGAACAGGAUUAGCUCGCUCAUGUUCAGUUCAAUAUAGCUCUCUCUCUCUCUCUCCCCUAUAUAUAUAUAUAUAUAUAUAUAUAUAUAUAUAUAUAUAUAUAUAUAUAUAUAUAUAUAUAUAUAUUAUUUGGAUUUUAAACCAAUCCAAAUGCAAAGAAACAUAUAUUUUUUAAUAAUUAGAUUAAGAUUUUAAGUUUUUUUCAAUUUUUCGCCGAGUAAUAGUACUAAUAAUCUAACUUACUGUUUGCGAACUAGAUUGUGUUUGGCUUGUUGACAGCCCUACUCUGUAAAAACUCAAUUUUGAUUCUGCGUCUCUCUUUAAAUAAAAACUUUUAACUAAUUAGAUUAUAAAUUUCAGAUUAGCUACAAAAGUAGUAAAUAAGAAAAGUAAGAUGCACGAUCAGGAUGAAGCAUUCACAAAACUUAUUUGUUAGUUGGUAGGAUGCGAAUCGGUUUUGCACUUUUGAUUAUUAUUUGAGUAGUUAUUUAUGUCUCAAUUACAUUUUGUGAGUAGAGGAAUUUUUAAUCUUUAUAGAUUAUAUUUUAAUAAAUGGUAGUUUACACAAGAUCAACCAGGAAAUUUGAGUCCCCUAUUUUCCUUUUUCAUGUUGUUGGAAUUUUGUGUCAUUGUUGAUGAGAGGGAGUAUUUCAUCUUGUGUCGAAACCCAAUUUUGAAUAUUUGAAAAUCAAACCUAAUGGCCAAUUUCUUAUAUGUUAGGAUUCGUCCAUAUUGGGACUUUUCUAAAAUAUUUCUAAUCCAUAUGGGGUAAGAAAUAAAUAUUUAUAAUUAUCUGUUAUAUUUCUAGCCCACUUGGGAUAAAGAAUAAAUCUAACAGAUAAAUCCUAAUCUGUUUAAAUAGUUGGAAUAUGAUUAGAAUUAAUAUCUCCCUUAUGGCCUAUAAAUACAUGAGAUAUUGACCACACACGUGAUAUAAAAAAAAUAAGAAUCAUCUCUCCAUAAAAAUUCUCUCUUGUGUUCGCUCUAGGGCACCAUCUGAAACCCUAGAGAUUUGGGCGGUGUGCGGCGAUCGACUCUAGUAGCUGGAUUGCAACGAGUAAGAACAAUGUGCAACAAAUUGAGACAGGACGUUGGCGGAUCAACGAGUUCGUAAAAUAAGACGAGAUUCGAUUCUGAUAAUCGUAAUACAUUCCGCAACAAAAGAGGUAUGUAAAAAUCUAUAAGAUUUUUGCGAUUGAUUUUUGGGUAUUUAAUUAAUUUUAUCCAACAUUAUAGAAUUUCACUACUUGUGGAUAGUUUUCGUGGUUUAUUGGCGAAUUUGAAGUCUACUUUAUAUUUAACAUGAAAAAGUACUGCGUCGAAAAUGAAACGAUUCUAAUUUCAAAGUCGAUGAACGUUGACAAGACUAAUGAAAAAGCCGAACCGAAAUCAACUUUCAUAGUCAAAAACUCAAACCCUAACGACUCAACUCGAAGUGAUCUAAAACUUUUGACACAUUGAACUCGUACAAGAGCUACAUAGACCCUAGACAACCAGAAAGCAAUUUGAAGUCUACUUUAUAUUUAACAGGAAAAAGUACUGCAUAGAAAAUGGAACAAUUCUAAAUUUACGUAAUCAAAGUCGAUGAAAGUUGACAGGACUAACGCAAAAACCGAACUGCAAUCAACUUUCAUAGUCAAAAACUCAAACCCUAACAAUUCAACCUGAAGCGAUCUAAAACUUCAAAUACACCGAACUCAAAUAAGAGCUACGUAGACCCUAGACAACCAAAAAGCAAAUAGACUGAAUCAAAUCGUCUAAGCUCAACAUAAUCCAAAUGCAAACAACUUAAAACUCAAGAUAACCAAAUCUUGAACCAAAUCGAGCUAAAACGACUAGAAAAUUUUAGACAAUCUAAAUUCGAAUGAAAAACCAUGAACCCUAGACUCUAAACCCAAGUAACCUAAAACUCUAAGCAAUGAAAAUCCAAUAUGACCCGACCUAAUCUGCUAGUGUGUCGCCUAUUUUUAUGACUUGAAACCAAAUAAUAUGCUGAGCAAGCCUAUGUUUAUGACUCAAAUUAAGAUGGAAUGCUUAAAAAAUUAAAAUAGGUGAAUUAAACUUUUUCAUAAUUAAAUUUUUAUAAAUUUUAAUUUGCUAAUAAAAUAUAAGUUGGAAUAGCUCAGUUGGUUAGAGCGUGUGGCUGUUAACCACAAGGUCGGAGGUUCAAGCCCUCCUUCUAGCGUUUAAAUUUUAAAUUAAUUUAUAGAGAGUUUUAGUUUAAAUUUUAAUUUUUAUUUUAAUACAAUUUAUAGUGAGUUUUAAUUUUGUUUUCACUACACAUUUUAUUGUGAUGGUGUUUUUAAUUCUGGUUCCUACAUAUUACUUUCCUGUUCUUAUAUUCUAGUUCCUAUAUUUUUUAUUUUGUCUUAACUACUUUUAUUCUCUUGUAUGUGCACUUUUAAUUUUGUUCCUUACCAAUUUAUUUAUUCUUAUAGCAUAUUUCAUAUUGGUUUUAUUAGUGGUGUUUUUAAAAUUUUUAAUUUUUUAAUUUUAAUUUUAAUUUUUAUUUACUUCUAAUUCUGCAAGCUUCUUAGAUUUCACUCUACAUUUAAAACUUAGCUUCUAAUUUUGUUUCACUAUUUUAACCUUUAAAGAAGUUUAAUAGCAUUACUUCUUUUUUUUUUUUGGGUUGUAUGUGCAAUUUUAUUUUUGUAUCUGAGCACUUUAAAUUUAUGUGUAAUUAUUUCACCUACAAACCACAGUUCCACCUAAUUUUUACAGCUCACAAAGCUACAAAGAAUACAAAUUUCUCAUAACUUUUAAUCUAAUCUCUUACAUAUUGAUUUUUUCUAUGUUCAACUUCUAGCAAUGCAGUUCAUGCUUGAAUAUUAUCAACACAUCUACGCAGACGCAAAAUUUGAGCAUUUGAUUCAAUUUAUAACAAAAUCGAAAAUUAGAACACAAUGAAACAGUUAAAUUCAAAACUAGAGGUAUCAUUUACAGCAGAGAGUGUAUCUUGUCUCCAUCUCUUCUUUUCGACAAAUAAAUCUCCACAAGUUUUGUAUACAAUAAACAGAUCAAUGCUUUUGCAGACAAAGUAUCUUUAAAUGCGAACUAAGUAAGGGAAGAAGAAAAAGAGUAAAAUGAGAUUACAAAAAAAGAGAACAAAAAAGAGCGCUUUCGGAUGCAUCACUAUAUAAAAGGCAAUGUUUCAAAUUUAAUAUCCAAUGAUAUGGAUUCAUCACAAAAGAAGCAACAGAAUAAUUUGCCAAAUACAAAGAAGGAAAGGAGCCUAAUUUGAAGGAUUUCAUGAUUAUAUAUUUCUUAUUCAUUCAUGUAUAAAUCUCUAUAUAUUAAUAAAGUUUGAUCCCUCACUGAUGUGGAGAGGAAUUCACCCAUUUUAAAUCUUCUUUAUGGUAUCAGAGCCUUUCCAAGAGAAUAUCACCUUCUUUAUGGUAUCGAGAGUCAAGAUUUACUUGGUUUCAUCACUGGAGAAUCAAAGCCACCACAUCACGAAGUACCUUCAUCCGACGAAAGUAGCCAAAUUCAAAAUCCAGAUUUCACAGCAUGGACGCGCACAGAUCGUCUAGUGAAAGCUUGGAUCACCGGAACUCUCUCCGAAGAAGUCCUGGGACUUGUCGUUGGUGUGAAGACUUCAGCAGAUGUAUGGCAAGCUCUUGCAGAUGCAUUUUCUCAAAAUUCGCAGGCUCGUGAAUUUGAAUUACUCUCAAAACUUCAAUAUAUGAAGAAGGGUACGUCUUCCUUAUCUGAAUAUUUACGAGAGUUUAAGUCGAUUUGUGAUCAAUUAAAUGCUAUUGGCAAACCUGUCUCUGAUCAAAGCAAGGUUUUUUGGCUCUUAAGUGGACUUGGACCACAGUAUGAGUCUUUUGCCACGGCUAUGUUAAAACCACUAGUACCAUCUUACUCUGACUUAAUUCCUUUGCUUCAAAGUCAUGAAUUAAGAAAUAAAGGACACGAAAGUAACCCAACAAACCACUCCAUGGCCUUCAUAAGCCAAAGAUAUGGAGGUGGCAUAGAUUUGAUAACAGCUAUCAAGCAGAGGAUAUUCCACAAGCCUUAGCGGCAAUGCAACUUGAAAGCGCUCAAGAUGAGGAAUGGUUUCCAGAUACGGGAGCAACAGCGCACAUGACAAAGGAUGCAGGUAAACUUGUUAAUUUGAAGCCAUAUAAAGGAUCUGAUUCAGUUAUAGUUGCAAAUGGGGAUAAAUUGAAUAUUUCUCAUAUUGGUGAAACUAGAAUUACUAAUGGAAAAUCUAGUAUACCAUUAAGAGAGGUGCUAUUAGUCCCAAAUAUACAACAAAAUUUAUUAUCAGUUUCACAGCUUACUAAUGAUUAUCCGUGCCAGUUUGAGUUUCGUAAUGAUGGUUUUGAAAUUAAGGACUUGAAGACAAAGCAGGUCCUAGCAUCGGGAAGUAAGCAUGGAGGUCUUUAUGUCUUUAAUAAGCCGAAAGUUCAAGCCUUCUUUUCAAGACGUUUUUGAAUAGCUGAUGAGGAUGUAUGGCAUAGACGAUUCGGUCAUCCACAAGCGAAGGUGCUGCGGUAUCUUGUUUCAAACAAUUUGAUUUCGGUCAAUAAAAAAUCUAGUAGUUUAUGUACGAGUUGUCAAAUAAGCAAAAGUUCAAGACUUCCUUUUUAUCCUUCAAAUAAUCGAUCGACUCAGGCAUUAAAUAAAAUACAUUGUGAUUUAUGGGGACCGGCUCCAGUUUCUUCAGUGCAAGGUUUUAGAUAUUAUGCUGUGUUUAUUGAUGAUUUUUCUCGCUACUGUUGGUUUUAUCCUCUUAAGAGAAAGCUGGAUUUCUUUAGUUGUUUCGUUGCUUCUCAAAAAAUGGUUGAGAAGCAGCUUGAUAAAACAAUAAAAAUAUUUCAAUCAGAUGGUGGUGGAGAAUUUAUCAAAAAGGAAUUUCUUGAUCAUUUACUUGAUAGAGGUAUUGUACAUCAGUUAUCUUGUCCAGGAACGUCGGAACAGAAUGGUGCUGCCGAACGCAAACACAGGCAUGUGGUGGAACUCGGAUUAGCUAUGCUAAAUCAAGCUAAUGCGCCGAAACAAUUUUGGGUUGAUGCUUUUGCAACAGCAAAUUUCUUAAUUAAUCGACUACCGUCUCCGGCAUUGGGUAUGAAUUGUUCUUAUACUGUUUUAUUCAAUAAACAACCCAUUUAUACUAUUCUCAGAACCUUUGGAUCUCGUUGUUAUCCAUAUCUUAGACAUUAUGCUACAAAUAAAUUUGAUAAUAGAUCAUUGCCAUGCAUUUUUCUGGGAUAUAGUGAGAAACAUAAAGGAUAUCGAUGUUUGUAUCGGCCAACAGGAAGAGUUUAUAUCUCUCGUCAUGUUAUUUUCGAUGAAAAUAUUUUUCCAUUCACUUUAACAACCGACGUCCCUAAUACAAUAGCAGUGCAAGAUGAGCCAUCUAUUUUUCAUGAAUGGAAGCAUCCUUGUGAAAUAGAAAAUACAAUGAAUCAACCUUCCUCAAAUGACUCCGAUAGAGCAAGGCUCUUUAAUGAGUCCCCAAUACAAUCACAUGAUGAUGUUUCUAUUGCUUCCUUUACUCAUGAUCAAAUGCAUUCUACUGCCCAAGAGAUUCAUUCUGAUUAUGAAAUGACUGCACCAUUUGAUCAAGGCACAUUUACUAUGCCUACAUACAAGGACCCACUUCCACAAGAAAGUCAAGUAUCACCAUCUCAUAGCAUGGUAACUAGAAGUAAAGCUGGAGUUUUUAAACCAAAUCCUAAAUAUGCUCAUUUAACCAUCACUUCCGCUAUCCCUGUAGAACCCAAAACUAUUAAAAGUGCCCUGAAACAUGAAGGAUGGAAGCUUGCUAUGAUAGAAGAAAUGGAUGCCUUAGCUGCUAACAACACUUGGGAACUCGUUCCUCGCACAACUGAUAUGAAUGUGGUAGGUUGUCGAUGGGUUUUCAAAACCAAGAUUCGACCUGGCGGAGUUUUGAAUCGUUUAAAAGCUCGACUCGUGACCAAAGGAUACAGCCAAAAAGGAGUAGAUUUUUUUGAGACAUUUAGUCCUGUGAUCAAGCCAGCUACUAUUCGAAUAAUUCUUACUAUUGCAACUAUUAAGCAGUGGCCUAUUCGUCAACUUGACGUUAAAAAUGCAUUUUUGCAUGGGCAUCUCCAAGCUCCGGUCUAUAUGGAGCAACCACCUGGAUUUGUUGAUUCUAAUCGACCUAAUUAUGUUUGCAAGCUUCAACGAGCAUUAUAUGGGCUCAAACAAGUGCCUAGGGCUUGGUUCGAUCGCUUGAGCUCAUUUCUUCUUGACUAUGGAUUUUCUUGCAGUGUUGCGGAUUCAUCUCUCUUUGUUUAUAAAAAUGGUGGUUGCACUAUUAUUCUUUUACUAUAUGUAGAUGAUAUUAUUCUAACUAGUGACACUCCAUCUCUUUUGGAUGAUUUGAUUAUUACUCUUGAAAAAUCUUUUUCUAUGAAGGAUUUGGGUCCGCUGCACUAUUUUCUUGGCAUUGAGGUACAUCAAACUCCAUAUGGUUUAUUUUUGUCUCAAUCUAAAUAUGCUUAUGAUGUUCUUACUCGUGCUCACAUGCAAUCAUGCAAGCCGGUUGCUACACCAAUGACAACUAAACCAUUUAUGUCCAAUGAUGGUGACUCUCCAUAUCAAGAUGUUACACAAUAUCGACAAAUUGUUGGAGCAUUGCAAUAUUUAACCAUUACACGACCGGAUCUUUCCUAUGCCGUCAACACCGUUUGUCAUUUUAUGCAUAAACCCGCGAUCAAAUACUUUCAUAUGGUGAAGCGCAUCCUACGAUAUAUAAGUGGUACUAUUAACCUUGGCUUACGAAUUUUUGCUAAAAGUGGGCUUAAUCUUUAUGCUUUUUCUGAUGCUGAUUGGGCGGGUUGUUCCACUACUCGUCGUUCAACCAUGGGUUUCUGCACAUUUUUGGGUUUCAAUUGUAUCUCAUGGAGUGCAAAGAGACAACCAACAGUCUCUCGUUCUAGUGCGGAGGCAGAAUAUCGUGCAAUGGCUUCUACUACUGCGGAACUUAUUUGGAUUUCCUUCAUUCUUCGCGAUAUCGGUAUACCUCAACCUCAUCCUUAUACGCUAUUUUGUGACAAUUUGGCAGCACUAUAUAUGAUGGUCAACCCGGUAUUUCAUGCUCGCACCAAACAUAUUGAAAUCGAUUAUCAUUUUGUUCGUGAGAAGGUGGCUCUUGGAUCACUCAUAACUCGGUUCGUUUCCUCUAAGCAACAAUUGGCUGAUAUAUGUACGAAGCCUUUACCC
rnacentral:lncRNA from 1 species